UUUUCUGGUCGUCUUUUUCACUUUUUGUAGUAGUGAUAGGUUCAUGUUAGAGACUUAUUUUUGUGGUUAUCUUCACUAGUGAAUGGAUUCGAGGCUGUGAAAAUGUUUGGGAAUGUUUGGCAGCACUCUUAUGUGUUUCUUAUGUACUCUUAAGAGUUCGUAUUUUGAAUUGAUUAUGAUGGUGAUUUCAAUGAUUAGUUUUUUUAUAUCUCGUAUAUUUAUCUGAACUGAAAUGUGUUUCUUUGUUAAACUCAAAUGCUAGGGUUAAUAAUGAAGAAAUGUAUUGUCAAAUUGAAUUGGAAUAAUCAGGAAAUUUGAUUAUAUUUAUACAAAUAAAUAAAUAAACCCACACAGUCAAGACGUGCAAAACGAGCCAUUAGUAAGUAUGAAAUUAAAGCUUUUAUGGCACGCUUAAGGAGCCGUGUAAUGUACACCAAUUAAGGCGUGAACAAUGUGCCGUAAAUAUGUAUCAAAUAAAGCUUUUAUGGUCCACCAAAAGAGCCAUGUAAUGUAUACCAAUUAAGGCGUGCAAAAUGCGCAGUAAAUAGUUGUCCAAACCUGAUACGAGAACUCAAUCAUGGCGCGCCUUAUUAACGCUUGGGCAAGCGGAUGCACGCUGUAAAAAGAAAAGGCUUUUUAAGGCUUGGCCUUUCGUGGCACGCAGCCACAAGCCGUGAAUUGUCAUUUACGGUGCGCAACGCACGCCGUAAAUACUCGAUUUUCUUGUAGUGUAUAAAGAAAGAGAAGAUAAAGACAGAAGAACAGUAAACAAUAGUAGACUUACUUUGAAUAUGUCUGAGCUUUUCCAGAAUUCCUCUUAGCCAUACUGCUUGACAAGCACAAGAAGCUGUUGUAAUGAAUUCAUCUUCGGUGGUGGAUAAAGUCACCAAUGGCUGCUUCCUUAAAGACCACGACAUAUUCCCUAAACUCAUUUUAAAAACAUAACUUGAUGUGCUCUUCUUAUCCUCUAAAUCCCCAGCAUAGUCGCUAUCCCUGUAGGCUAUUAGUUCCUCAUCUUCUCCAUUUUUGUAGAACACACCAUAGUAUGUUGUACCUUUCAAAUACCUUAAGACUCUUUUAGUAGCCUGCAAGUGAAGCUCAGUAGGAUUUGCCAUGUACCCAUUGAUAAGACUCACUGCAAACAGCACAUCUGGCCGAGUAGCAGUUAAGUACAUUACACUUCCUACAACUUGUUUGUAAAAGGUGCUGUCAACCUUCACUCCAUCUUCAUCUCUUGAAAGCUUACAACCAGGAACUGGGAUUAUGGACUGGAUUGCUUCUAUCCAUUUCAAACCUCUUCAAUACCUCCAGUGCAUACUUCUUUUGAUUAAUAAAUAUUCCAUCUGCCCUUUGCAUCACCUCAAUACCAAGAAAAAAUCUCAUCUUCCCAAGGUUAGUCAUGUCAAAUAACUCUUAUGUCACUCACUUAGAGUGACAUGAAAUAACUCUUAUGUCACUGUCGGACAAUGACACAAGAGUUGUUUAAUGUCACUCUAAGUGAGUGACAUAAGAGUUAUUUCAUGUCACUGUCGGACAGUAACUGGACCGGUUUGUCCAAUUUUGGAGACACUGAACCAUUUUGUCCUCAUGCCCUCCUAUUUGUCCUUAUGUGAUAAAGCCCUUUUUUAAUAUAGGUGAUCAUCAUUAGCGCCCCUAUGCUCCCACCUUUAAUUUUUUGGUAGAGAGUAAAAUGAAAGCUUAGAUGUUAACACAUUUGAAGUUUUCUAGAAAAGAGAGUAAGCUUUAACUCUCGUUCUCCUCUCUCAUCUCUUCUUCUCUUUCUCUUCCUAUAUUUUCUUCUUAUCCUCUCUACAUCUCUAGGUUCGAUUAGUGAACCCAUGUUAAUGGUGGUUCGAUGGUUGUGGUUGUGGUGGUUGAUAGAUUCAUCGAUCAAAUUUGGAAGUAAGAGUAAGGGCACACUGCCUUAACCAACUGGCUUAACCCAACAAAAUUUUUAACACUAAAGCUUAUGCUUAUUGGACGGAUCUAAUUUUUAAUUUCCAAUCUUUUUUUAGGGUCACCGUUAUUUAUCAUGGCCAAUACUACUACAUUAUUAUAUGCCUAAGCCCUAAUGUUGUAUAUCUUCCACACGUAUGCCAUGUGAUCAACGUGAUGAUUAUUAACAUUGUAGAAGAGAUAAUUACUAAUUAUAAUAUGGAGAUUGAUGGGGAAGUAGGAAUUUAUAAGUUAUAGUACAAAAUGAAGAUGGUUUUAUUGUUGGAAGUAUGAUACAGAUUUUGUGUUCUUGAGAUGUUGGGGAUUUUGAUUUUGUUAUUAAAUUUGGUGAAAUUUAGUGAAUUGGAUGAACUAUAAGGAAGAUUUUUUGAGAUUUUGCUGUGUAAUUGAUAUUAGGAUUGAAAUUGGAAGAGGAAAGCAUGGAAUUUGGCUGGGAAUUCACUGAAUUCGCACCAGGGACCUGUUUGCAAAGUAUUUUGCAGUUUUUGGGGCAGUUUUAUAAUUUCUUGAAGUGUAAGCAUCAAAAGCUUGGGGACAUAUUUCUAAUUUUAAAAAAUGUUGAGACAUUAAGGUAAGUUCGGUAAAGCAAAUGCCCUUAAUGGAGUUGGAAUCAAUGGCGAACGCACAUUGGGACAAGACGGGUCGCACGACCCCUUGGGAUGCCGGAAAUACAGCUGUGGACUCCAUGAGCGACUCCUUGGACAGCAGCAAAGCGACCAUUUGUUUGCACACAAGGUGCUCGGUGAAAGUCCCCUAUGGGUAAUGGAGAGAAAGAAAGUGAUGGGGAGGGAGAGAAGAGAAGAAAAUAUGAGAGAGAAGAAGAAGAAAGAAAGAAAGGGAAAAAACAAGAAAAAAGAGUGAAGAUAGAUGGGGAUGGAGUGGUGGGGGAGGCUGGGAAGAAAGAACCAGAGAGGAAGAAGAAGGAAAAUAAUAAAGAGAGAGAGAGAGAGAGAGAGAGAGAGAGAGAGAGAGAGAGAGAGAGAGAGAGAGAAUAAAAAAAGAAGGGGAAAUAUUAAAUAAAAGGAAAGAAAGAGAGAAUCUGAAAAAAAAAAAAAAAAAAAAAACACCAAACGGAUGAGAAAUAUGGAACCGAUGUCGUGUCAAAUAGAAACUGUAUGAUAUUGUAUCAUACCAUUUAUUAUGCAACACCGAACAACAUGGUAUGAGAUUGGCACGAUUUGGGUUCGGUAUCUGUUUUUCUGUUUUGAUGCCUAGCAUUAUCUGGCCAAACGACGUCGUUUGGUACAUGGCUCAUUCCAUUUUUUUUUUUAAUUGAACUAACCUAAAAACUAUGUUAUUUUGAGCCAGGCUUUAAAAAAAAAUUCUAUACUUUUACACUAAGACCCCUUGCCCCGAGAAUCCUGGAUCCGCCACUGGUUGGAAUAGAGUUAAAGCGGAACAUAUGGAAACGUAGAUAUAAAGAAAUUGGACAGAAUUUAGUUACUUAUGUACGGGACAAAUGGUAACACUUUUUGUUGUUGUACUAGGGACUCCAGUUACCGUGAUACUUAUGAUUGACCGUGGCGUUAGUGAGGUAUAUCUUACACUUGCAUUGAAAUCGAGGUAGGUAGUAUAUUGAAAAGGAUCUUUUAUGUAGUUGAGUCACUCAAAAAAUAAGUUCCUAAUAAUUUAUUCACUCAAAAAAGAUAAUCAAACAUUACAGAAACUUGGAUGAUACAAUUAUUCUUAAUAAAAUCAAAGUCUCAAUAUAACUAUAUAAACUGAGAUCCAUGAAAGAGAAAGUAAAUUUCAAUAUUUAUUUACAAGGAGGCAUAUAAGCAGGUGCUGGGAGCAUGCUGGUUUCAGUGGUGUUUCCAUUUGUCACAAUGAGUACAGUGGCCAUUCCCCAGCUGGCGUGCCUUUCCAAAUGACAGUGCAUAAACCAUACUCCUGAAAAUAAUCAUCAAAUAAUUCAUUUCAAUAGUUAGUUAACUUAUCUCCAUGGUUGCUCUUAAUUAAUUUGCCUAAUUACAUACAUCGUACAUGUGGCAUGUGAGAUGUACAUUAUUAUUAUUAUUAUUUGUCAGAAUUUGAAAAGAAGAGGAGAGCGGUGUCAUUGGGGUUUGAACCUGACACCAUUUAUUUGCAAACAAAUACUCUUACCACUGAGCUAUGAACCCAAUGCCGUGACAAGUACAUUAAUUAGGUGGCUAUAGAAGUAGAACUUACCAGGAUUAUCAGCCUUAAAUCUGACGGUUGCCCAUCCAUUCUUUGGUACACCAAUGGUGUUUACUUCAGGUGGAUCAACCAAAUUGUAGGUCUUAGGGGCCUGAUUAGGGUCGAAAUUCCCAGAACCAAUUCCAACCAAAUAGAAGUUGAAACCAUGAAGAUGCAUCGGAUGGUUCUCAGCGGCAAUCAUGUUGGUCCCUUGAUAGAUUAUCUCAACUUCUUCACCAUAUUUAAUCAUCCUCACCUUCGUUCCAAAGUAAGGAUAUAUUGUGUCGUUUCGCACGUGUCCCGUGAAGUUGAAAAUAUAAGGUUUGUGUGGGAAAUUAGCUGAGUAAACUCCCUUAAUUGACCUGUACAAAGGCAAUAAGGUCAUUUAAGUUAGAUAUUUUUAAUUAAAAAACAAAAAACAAAGUUCUAGUUUUGCAAAACAAGAACAAGUAAUAAGACGUGGAUUAGAGAAGCCAGAGCCCCUCUUGCAUUUGAGUCCAGCGAGUAUAUUAAUUUAAACUAUUAUUUGUAUUUAAAAACGCACGCUUUUGGCUCAGUUACCAUUUUACUCUUCUACGCGACUAUUCAUUUCCUUUCAGUGAAGUGUUUAAUUGGGAAACGUUAUCUACAUAGAAAACUCUCAUUAACGUAUACAAUAAUUUGACAUUAACCAAUUAAUUUGAGCAACUAAUUCAAAUUACGUUACGUACCCGUGAUAGGCUUGCAGUAUAUCAAUCGAUGGAGUCACAAAACUGAUGUUGUUUAAGCUUGCAGCAAGUGCAUUGUUAUCUGGGCCAUCACAAGAAGAAUUGGGACAAAUUCUUUCAUUUACGGAAACAGAGAUGAAGAGCGUGUGUGUGAUGUUUAACGGGACACAAAUGGGGUAGUCUUUGCUUGCCAAGGCCCUUACUUGCGUAGUGAAGUUUGAGGCAGCCGUUCCGUCGGCCGGAUUGGGAAAAGUCGGAGUGGGAAUGGUUGAGGGGGUGGUGCUGCCGUUAUAUUGAAGAAUGGCAGAGGUGGUGCUGUUGUUGAAUGCAACAUCCCCAUCAACAAAAGGAGCGGAAGCUACGUGAUAGGAGCUGGGAGACUGGUUUGCAACUACCAAAAUGUCCAUGGUUUGGCCUGGAGUUAUCACGAGGUAGGAGGUGGUUAUAGGUUUAAGGUAUGCAGCAUCUUGAGCUACCACUGUGAGGUUGUGGUUGGCAAUGGCGAAGAACAUUUCUUCGUUCAACACCGCGUUGAUUAAGCGGAGAAGAUACGUAUUGCCAUAAUCAACCACCCAACGGUAUGUUGUUGCUGCAACAGGAAAUCAAUCAGUUGUUAGCAAAUAAAUGAUGUCAAAGUAUGUUAGUUGUUAGAAAUAAACAGUGUUCAUAGUGAAUCAAAUAUGAAUAAAUCAAACACUAUAGUAGAGUAAUGUUUGAAUGAAAUAAUAAUGUCUUUAGUAAAAUAAUUGUAGUUGAUAUAAUCUUCCACAAACAAUAUUUUAUUUGAGAGUAACUUUUGAAGUCUCCUACGAAUUUUAUUUCGUAGAUCCAAACAUGAGAGAGAAAACUCCGAACGGUCUAUAUGUGCCUAAUUGCUAAACUAUAGUCAAAUAUAAUACUCCCUUCAUAACUCAGGGUGACCCACCAUUAUCCCAACUGAGAUUUUGAGUCUCACUUUACAACUAACCAUCAAGUCGGUUAAAAGUUAAAUUAAAAAUGUUGACAUGAUUUUCUCAACAACAAAAAAAUGUUGACAUGACAUGGGCGUACUUAUGAAACGUCUAACACAUGAGUGCCAUGUGUGCCAAAAAUAAAAUAAAAUAUUUCAUUUUAAAAAAGUUUAAUUUAAGACCCAGCCCUAGCCCCACCGACUUCCCUCACCGCUACCCUGUUACCAGCUCAAAUGGGCCUCCGCCCCCACUGCGAUACCCAAAGCAAUCCCUCCAACUGAUAACAUCCCCAAAGCAAUAUUAAAAUCUUUGCUCAGGGUUGCACCUGUACCAUCAAAAUGAGGGGGACUUAUUGUCCUACUUAACUGGUUUAAUACACGUCGGUGUUAUAUUUUAAUUUUUAUUAAACGGGUUUCAAAUCUGAAAAAUCUCACAUCGAGAAAAAAAAUACCACUAAAUAGCUAUUUUCAACUUGCUUACUACAUUUGGCCUACACCACAAGUCAAUAAAGUAUACCGCUUUGCAUGAUACUCCAUAGACACCUAGAAGUUUCUUCAUUUACGCGGGAAUGUUACCAUCCUCCUUUAUGUCAACCCCACUGAGAAAAACACUCAAUUGCUUUUCUCGCGUCCACAUAUAAUAACAAAAGAUAAUCAAAUGAGAUUAGGUUUGGAUAUUUGAUUAUAAUUACCAUUGGAACACGCAUUAUACAAAUCUCCCGGCUCUCCGUUGAUUGUGAAGGCAUCUGAAACGUUUGGAUCGGCACCUGUUGCGAGAGCAUUUUCAAUAAUUUCAUUCACGUCUCCUUUGUACCAGGAUCCUGCCAGCGAACCAGAUGACAAUGGAAAAUAAUUAUUGAGAUUCGAUGAUGUAACACCUUUUGUUUUCAUGUCUGUGGUUGUGGCAUGGACAGCAGUCCUUGUAAAUGGUUAAUAACUGAUGCAUAGAAAUUUUUAUUAAAAUAAAAGUACCUAGAGCCAGUGUUUCUUCUCCAUCUGGUUUUGUAAAAGGAUAAGUGGUGUUGAGAGCUGGUAGAAUAAUGAUGGCACCAUAGACUGUGGCACGUGUCCAAUCGCUAUGAGCAUGCCACCAUAAUGUUCCUUCUUCAAUGGAGAAGAUAACCUCAUAAGUGAAGUUUGACCCUGCUUGAAUAGGGCACUGUGUUAUGUUCUCUGGUCCAUCAUACCAUGGAUUUCGUGGUUGCUUCACUCCAUGCCUGUAAAUAUUAAACAAGAUUAAAAAGUUUGUCUGCUAGCUUGAUUUUCCUUUUCUUCUUAAGGUGGAAAACUAAUUGAAGCAGUCAAAAUAAAAUCGAAGGUAUUAUUUUUGUGUUUAUUAAAGAAAAAGACUAAAGACUAAGCAUGCCCGUUCAAACACUAAGAUUUGCAUGACUUCUAGAUUGCUGGUUUUAUGUUCGAAUCCUUAAAGCACAGUAUAUGUGAAAACCCUCCACCCUCUCUAGUUUAGACUAUCAUUUACAUUUUUUUUUUUUUUAAACACACACACAUAAGAAAUACCCAACGUUAAGGAAAAGAGUUGCUUACAAGACAUACAUAUAUUAGACAAGGAAAAAGAGUUCCCUACCCCACUCCCUUCCUCUAGCCUUUUAUUUUUCUAAUCUUUAUAAAGUUAUUCACACUUUCACUUUCUCUCUCUAAAAGACUAGGACCAGGUCACAGUCAUGAUCUUUCUUCCUGUAAGUAAGCUAUUGGAAUUGGCCAGAGAGCCCAUCAUAAGAUGUAGAAGAGAAUAUUCCAAGUGAAGGCUAAUUUUCCACCAAUAAGCUUAAUUAUCCAUCCAGCUUAUCUUUAAACAAUAGUUAAAAGCAGUUUUGGACUAUUGGUCAAUGCCAAAAAUAAAAAUAAAAAAUCUAGAGCUAAGCUAAUGAGAUUGGUAGUUUUUACCAAUGAAGGGUGACACCGUAUGAGCCUUGGUUGUGGACAUUCACAAAAGCAGUGUCUCCCUUCCGGACGGUGAUGGUCGGCCCCGGCAAAGUCCCAUUCACAGUUAAGAUGGUCUUUGUUUCGCAAAGCCUUGUAAAAUUCAAUUCUGUCAGCUGCAAAACAAAACAAAGCAACGGAUGAUGAUGAACAUUCGAAGGCUGUAAAAAUGGUGUUAGUGUAAUGCAGGAAGCACUUACAACAAAAUCAUAAUAAUGGGUAUUUCCAUUAGCCUUGCAAAGACCCAAGAACAUAAACCCUACACAGGCUAAGACCCAACUCAUUUUCUUAAACUCCAUUUCCAGGUCUUGGUUUUUCCUAGUGUGUUCUUCAGGUUGCCCUUGAAGUGUUGUGCGGUUUUCGGUCUCAGGUAAAGACCUAUUUAUAGACAGACUUCAUGGCAAGUUGCUUCUAUUAUUAGUAGCCAAAUUACGCAAAGUUAAAAAAAUAAAAUAAACAACUUAAAUAAGUUCAGUGCACGACAAAAAUAAGUUGGUCCAGUGCACGACAAAAAUAAGUUCAGACACUAGUACCGUGUAUUAGAUAAACAACUUCAUGAUCAUUACUGAACAGGAGAACGUCGACUUUUUCCUUAAGUUGUUCAUAUAUCCUGUCAUCAACUGGGUUUUUGUCGGUAAGUAUUGUUCUGUGCCUCGAUUACCAGUAAGAAUAAUAAAGUAACGUCAAACUAGACUGACUAGAUUUUUAUUUUAUUUUUUGGAAAAUCAGAUAUACUACAAGUUUAUCCUCUCUUGUUUUUCCAACUAACGUCCCAGGUUUUAUUGUCGGUUUGAUGAAUAAAGUUCCCCAUAACGUUGGGGGUACUCUAAAAACUUAGUUUAUCUUUAUACCAUAAAAGCAACAACUUCCUUUACUUGUAUCCCAGAGUUUUGAUCCAUUUUGUAUUCUACACACAUCUUACGGGUUUGGAAAAGUUACAUAUUAGGUCAUCUCUAAGUAAGGGCUAUAUCCUCAAAUCUAGUUUAAAAUUUCUAAAACUAAUCUCUAAAAGUGUGCUCAAAGGGGUAUAAAAAAGAAGAGGGCUACACAAAGGGCUAAUUCCUAACCCGGGUUAAAUACUUGGAUGGGGCUCAGCUGACGUCACCUAGUCGUUAGGUGACAUCAGCUAGUUUAUUUUUUAAAUCCGAAAAAAAAAUGAUUUUUUUUUCACUUUCAUACUUUUACAUAAUUUCUCACAAUCUCUUCAUUUUUUUACAAACUAUCCUUCAUCUUUUUCUAUUUAAAUUAAUUUUUAAGUUGGUUUUAGAACAAGAAAAAAUAUAAUCAUAAAUCUAUAGGGCUAAUCACGUGGAUGUCAAAAAUCAUAUCCCAAAGAAUUUUUCUCUUCUAAAAUGUAUUUUAAAUAGAAUAUAAAUAGUAGUUAAAUUAAAUUAACUCAUACACUAAAAAUUAUUAAAAUAUUAAAUUUAGUCAUUUGCUGUUGGAGACGGUUAAAAUAGAGCCAGUCACUAUUCUUUAUAAAAUUAUUUUUUACAAGGUUAAAUAUUGACACGUGAUUAAAAAAAUGUUAUUAUAGUAACACUGAUGACAAGUGAUUAAAAAAAGCCUUACUAAACACGGAAAAACACUAAAUAUUCAAAUUCCUUGACAAGUCGACUCCUAUAUUUGCUUUGAAAUAUUCCAUGCUUCUAUGUUCUAGCAGCAACCUUUUUUUUUCCAUGAAGCUCAAUUUUACAAGGGAAACUUAUUUAAUAUUAUCCUAAAACCAAACAAAAGACUCCAAACUAGACAAAUCAAGCAAACCUCGCAAGUUGAAAGGGUUUAAGGUGGCUUCAGAAGAAACAUGUUAGGAAUCCGUUAGACCUUAUAAGUAGUGUAGCAUACUCAUUAAGAACCAUAAUAAGAUGUCUCAGACUCUUAAUUAAUGUCUAAAAAUCCAAAUUUGAUUUGCUUUCUCUAUGAAAUUAUGUAAAAGAUACAUGAUGUUUGUUUAAAUCAAUUGACAAUACUUAAGGAGGAACUCCUUCUUGUUGGCAUGACUUGUGACUUUCCUUGCACCCCAACGAUUCCCAUAUUAAUUGUAAUUGAUUUCCCUUUUAUUUGUAAUUUUCUACUGUAAAUAGAAUUAGGAGUUAUUACUUGGCCUUCAAAAUUUUCUUGUACUAUAAAUAUGACCUCCAACAAGGAGAAGAAUACAUAGAAAAUUCUCACAAACAAUAUUUUCUCAUAGGUUUUCAUAUUUGAGCACGGUAUCAGAGCCCAACUCACAAUUGGAAGCCCAAACGCAGUUGGAUAGCCCAAAGAGUAUUUCACAUCUCUUCGUCACAUACGCGCCAUGCAGAAGUUGGGCGACAUUUGUGGGAGCAUAUAUUUUAGCGACCAAUGAGUGGGUGACACGUGGAAAAGGAAAAUUCCCUAGGUCAAUUAAUUACCCUAAUUAAAUCUUAUUUAAUUAGGAAAAUUAUAAUUGAUUUAAGAUGAGAAUAUCUCCCUAAAUCAAGGAUGAGAUUUCCACCGAAUCUCCUUGAUUAAUUCCAAUCUCCUAUUUUUGAGUAAGAAUAAACCUAAUUAAAUAAGGAUUAUUCUUCAAACUCUAGCUAACAAGGAGCACUAUAAAUACAUGGCUACAUCACACAUAUGAGGUAAUCUGAUUUUGACACGAGAAAUCUCUCCCUCUCUCACGCCAUUCUCUCUCUCUCUCUCUCUCUCUCUCUCUCUCUCUCUCUCUCUCUCUCUCUCUCUCUCUCUCGGCUCCGGCCACCUAGUUCUCUCACCGAGAGAGAACUCCGACCACUUUAGCUAUUGUCAUCUUCUUCAAGGUCCAAUCAAACUAACUUAGGUAUCGGAGGGUCUUUGGCCAACACCUCCCGGGUGUGGUCUAUUUAUGACAGGAACCACCCCGAAUUCCUCGUGACGAAGCCUGUGAUUUUUCCGACAUCCAACUGAUGUCGGGCCUACUUACAAAUUUCAAACAUCCUCUUCCCCUAAAAUAAAGGAAAAGAGGGCCGAGACUUCUACCGAAAUUUUAGCAGAGUCUCCCCUGAAAAAUGAACUUUACCAAAUUUUCCAAUCUAAGACUUCUACCGAAAUAAAGAUAUACACACCUCACACCAUCAUCAUGUACCAGGGGAAAAAUAUCAAAUCCGGGAAUCGUUUGACUAGACCACAUAGAGGAAUCCUCAACAACCAUGUGGCCAGCGACGAGCCGUCCAACAGGGGAACUAGGCUCCAAGCACACACAACAGAAUCCUCAAUACUCGUGUGCCUAUGACAAGUCCUACGCACACAGACUACCCUACUAAGGGUCUACAAAACACCCCGUCAAAGGUGCCUGUGAAAGGACCUACCCCGAAUUUUUCAAAACCCGAGGCGAACCCUUUGAAAUUUCCGACAUCAUCCCGAUGCCAGGCCCACUUAGGCUGCCUACGUACCCUCCUUGAGGGAUCAAGCCACACGUAGUUCUUCCCUAAAACCCAAUUCUACACUUAGGCGAUACCUUAUUUCAUUUCUCUGUAUUUCACAUAAUCUCCCCAUACGCCGGUACAACCAACGCCACGUAUGGGGUCUGUCAACACGCCGGAUAACCUACGCCACGUGCGACCAUGCCAUACUAUCAUAAUAUCUCCCCAUACGCUGGUACAACCAACGCCACGUAUGGGGUCUGUCUCAACGCCGGAUAACCUACGCCACGCGAAACCUGCACAUCAUAUCACAUAACUCCCCAUACGCCGGUACAACCAACGCCACGUGGGACCUCAACAUCAUAUCACAAAUCUCCUCAUACGCCGGUACAACCAACGUCACGUAUGGGGUCUGUCGACACGCCGGAUAACCUAGGCCACGUGAGACCAUGCCAUACUAUCAUAAUAUCUCCCCAUACGCCGGUACAACCAACGCCACGUAUGGGGUCUGUCUCAACGCCGGAUAACCUACGCCACGCGAGACCUGCACAUCAUAUCACAUAACUCCCCAUACGCCAGUACAACCAACGCCAUUUAUGGGGCCUGUCCCAACGCCGGAUAACCUACGCCACGUGGGACCUCAACAUCAUAUCACAAAUAUCCCCAUACGCCGGUACAACCAACGCCACGUAUGGGGUCUGUCGACACGCUGGAUAACCUACGCCACGUGCGACCAUGCCAUACUAUCAUAAUAUCUCCCCAUACGCCGGUACAACCAACGCCACGUAUGGGGUCUGUCUCAACGCCGGAUAACCUACGCCACGCGAGAGCUGCACAUCAUAUCACAUAACUCCCCAUACGCCGGUACAACUAACGCCACGUAUGGGGCCUGUCCCAACGCCGGAUAACCUACGCCACGUGGGACCUCAACAUCAUAUCACAAAUAUCCUCAUACGCCGGUACAACCAACGCCACGUAUAGGGUCUGUCGACACGCCGGAUAACCUACGCCACGUGCGACUAUGCCAUACUAUCAUAAUAUCUCCCCAUACGCCGGUACAACCAACGCCACGUAUGGGGUCUGUCUCAACGCCGGAUAACCUACGCCACGUGAGACCUAAAUUUCACUUGGUGGUACUUGUAGUAUAACCAAAAUCCGGGGAGGUACCUAAGGUAGUGCGUACAGCACUCCAAACUGACAUUCUAGACUCUUUUGUACCGUUGUACAAACAUAUAUAAUUAUAUAUAAUUAUUAUAAUAUUGUGUAACCCUCCGCAAUAGUCUAGCUCCCGAUAAUCCACCCUGGAAGGGUGAGAUUACUCUGGGAAACUCGCGGUCAACCAAGGGUCAAACUACCCUAACCCUGGUCAAACGGACCUGCGGAGCCUACGACCUCCGAUUUACGAUCCGAAAGUCCCUAUGGGUUUUACAAGGUAUAGGACACUCGGCCUGCAAGUUUGGUUCAGAUCGGACGGUCGGAUCGCUCACGAUCGCACGAUCUGACGGUUAAUAUAAAAUAUAAACUUUAAAUUAUUAUUCGGAACAUCUGGGGCUUCGAUUCACAAUCCGUGAAUUCCUACACUAUCCUAGAAAUACCUAGAUUAACAUAUAUUAAAUUUGGGACCAUCCAACGGUCCCAACCUAUCGAACCCGGAUAACCACAAUAUGCGAUCGUCCGUUCGAUAGUCAAACGACGUCCGAAUUGAGAUCCGCGAAAUCCUACACACUCGUGACAACCUAAGGAUCUCAUCGAGACACAGUGCCACUUUUCUACAGUGCCCACGCGCCGCUGCACGUGCCGGUAGCGCGUGGGUGCCCAAAGCGAUAAAGCUUCACCGGAAAAAUCUCAACACCACGGCUCCAAACUCCUACCCUAGGUAUAACACCCUAUUUGGAGCCACUUUUGUUCUUGGGCCUACCCCAAAAACUAACCGGAAGUGGCCAGAAUCGCGAUCCCAAAACCGGCCGAAUUUCAAUUCGAAAAUCGAAUUGGCUACGGUAAGAAUCAAUCCAAUCCUACCCAACAGGCAGCUAGAUCAUGCAGAAGGGAUGAAUUUCCAUACCUUGAUCGCCAGAAAUGGCGGCCGGAGGAGGGAGAUCGGAGCCGGCGAAGUUCGGGCGACAACCGGGCGAAAAUCUCCAUUUUCUAGCGGCUGGAGCGGCGGCCGAUGUCGGGGGAGGGCUGGGUCGUGACGCCGAGGCUGAGCCGGUCCUUUUGGCACCGGUCCCGUCCGCAGCCGCGGCCGGUGGCCGGAGAUACGAGGAGAGAGAGAGAGAGACCGACGGGAGAGAGAGAGAGUUCACGGGAGGGAGAGAGAGAGAGAGAGAGAGAGAGAGAGAGAGAGAGAGAGAGAGAGAGAAAAAAAAAUCUGAGUUUUUAUAAAAAAUUUCAUUUCGAAAUAUUUGCGAUUGUGCCAUUGGGUUUCUUUUGACCAUAUCUCUCUCAUUACAACUCCGAUUCGAGCCUACUGCGUGUCUAUGAACUCGUCUCAGUACGACCUAUCCAAAAAUACUAGUCAUUACCCCAAACUCUCUCCGGUUAAAAAUAUGACUAAAAUGCCCUUAUCUCAAGGGUAAAUUUAUAAUUUUCCUUAAAUAAUUAAAUAAUUUAAAUAAGGGCUAAAUUUGGGGUCGGGGUGUUACAGCCUGGGUUCCGACAUAUCCAAGUAUCCAUGUCUGAGUAUUCAUAUCCAAGUUUCCAAGUACCGGGAAGGGGAAACUAUCCAACUGGGGAUCGUUUGGUUCAACUACACGGAGGAAUCCUCAACAAUCAUGUGGCCAGGAACAAGUCGUCCAACUGGGAGAUUGGACUCAUCAACACGAACAAUAGAAUUCUCAAUACUCGUGUACCUGUGAUAAGUCCUACGCACGUAGACUACCUCACUAAGGGUCUACGAAACACCCCGUCAAGGGUACCUGGGUUCCGAUCAUAUCCAAACCAUAACCACCGUUUCCAAGUAUCCAUUAUCCAUCAAUUCCAAUAUUAGUAUCCAAGGGGAGUACAUGAGAUGGUGUGUCAUCUCCAAGAUCCAAAAUCCACUUUCAUAAACUAAUAAAUAAUAAAGAUAAUACUCUCCAAAUCCAAUUUUCAAAACAAAUCGUUUCUAUAUAAUAAAUAUAUAUAUAUAAUACCCAUUCUGCCUUUUUGAAAACCAUAUUAAAAUCAUAAUUAAGAAAACCAUCGAAACUAAAUAAGCUCAUUCGAUUUAAUUAAUAUUCAAAUCACUAUUCAUAUAUUUAGGAAAUACACCACCUCUAAAAAUCCCACAAGACAAUAUAAUAAAAUCCAACACCAUAUUUAAAUUUCCCAAAACCAUAGCCCAUCAAUAUAUACAUACUACUUCCAACAUUUUCAAAGAUAUUGCAAUUCAAAGUCCGAUAACCACAUAAACUGAUGCACCAAAACCAAAAUUCAUAAUAUACCCAAAGUCACCAUAACCCUUUAUAAAUAAUAUUAAUAGCACUACUAAUAAUAGUAAUAAUAAUACGCAUUCCCAAAAUUUCCAUAAUCACGUAUUCCAUCCUAAAAAUUCACUAGUUUAAAUUAGAUCACCCAUAACUUUCAACAUCCGUUCUCAACAGAAUUUCCACACACAAAUAACACACCACUCAGCAAACCAGAAUGCGUAACCCUUAUUAUUCACUUUCCAAGACACCUUUUUUAAAACCCGCAUCGAUAUCCAAUGUACCCAUAACCCAAAUACAUAGACAUAUAUUUGAGUGUAAACAUAUAAUCAACAUUUAAUUUGUUCACCCGUUUCGUGUCACUACUACAAAAAGUGAAAAAGACGACCAGAAAACAACGACGGUCUAAGUGAAAACCGUCGUGGUUUUUAAAAAGACGACGGUUCUAAAAACACCGUCGUGUAAUACAACCUUAGACAACUAAAAAUGGAGAUUCAAAUGGCUGUUCAAAAACAACGACGUACCUAAUAAAAAAACCGACGUCUAUUUGAAACAGAUUUCCGCAGUGUAAAAUCAAAGCCAACAAAGAACGGCAGAAGUUAUGAAUCGACCGACGUAGAAAGUAAAGACGACGAUUUCAAUAAAAGCCGCCGUUUUUACUCAUAAAAUAACACGACGAAAUUUUCGUAUAAGACGCCGUAUAAUUACAAACAAAUCGACGGCUUUAAAAUACAAAAUGUCGCCGUAUUAAAUUAAUUUACAACGAUGGAAAAUAUAAAUAUAUCGACGUCAUUCUCGUAUAGUUCUACGACGUUAUCUUUAAAUCGUACUAUAAAAUUUAACGUCGUAUUUAUUCAUUUUAUACGUCGUACCUUUAAUUUAAACCGUCGUCUUAAUAAGAAUUUUUGUUAACAAUUUUUUCCUUUAUUUUCUUAUCCUACGUCGGUAGAUCUACUUAAUGACAAGAAUUGAAAUCUGUCAUCCAAAAAAGAAACUUUACAUAUUCCAGAACAUUAAUUUCCUUCAUUUUAAAUUUCCUCCGGAAAAAAAAACUCUAUUUAUAACGCACUGUAAUUGAAAAAUAAACUGAAAGGUCACGGGAAAAAAAUUUCUAUUCAUAAUUUAACAAUUCAAAUCCACGUCGGUUAUAUUAAACCUAACGACGUUAAAUGAAAAGAUUCCACGUCGCAAAACAAAUAUUGCGUCGUGUUAGUUUAUGGUUUCUUUAAUAGUUUCAGUUUCUUUAACAGUUUGGUCCUUUAUCUUUCUGCAGGACUUGUAUAGUUCAAAGCAUUGACUUGUAUAGUUCAGAGUAUAGUUCAAAGCACUGAUUCGAUUGCUCAUGCUUUAUCGCAUUCAUGAAGCCAUUUCUAUUCUUUAUCGCAGUCUUGAAACCCAUCUUCUUUUUCUGAAGCUCUACGGAUAAAGGAAGAGGCUAUCACAAAUCUGACGGAUCUUCUUAGCCAAGAAAAUCAAGCAGAGGAUCAGGCACAUCUGAUCUUCAGAUUUCCCUGAGAAGCGAACUUUCCUUCGACAGCGAGUGGAGGGCAGGCUUGCAUCUCUUUUGAUGGAAAGCAAGGAGUAUUCAGAAGCACUAAGUGUCCUAUCAGGCUUGAUCAAGGAAGUGAGAAGGCUAGUUGACAAGCUUCUUCUUGUGGACAUAGAUUUGAUGCGAGUAAGCUCAAUUUCUCUUUGAGAAAGACAUCCAAAUUACUGUCUUUGAGAUGUGAGAGACAGUGUCUCUGAGAGAGGAAGAACUUGGAACCCUAAAUGUAAACCGAAAAUGAAUGAAAGCGACAAAUUUAUAGAAUAAAUUUUUAAAACCAACGGCGGUCCUUACAAAAAAACCGCCGUUUAAAUUUUAAAAUCAACGUCGGUAUGACCGACGUAUAUUACAUAAAUCCACGUCGGUACAUUAAUAAAACCGACGUGUUAAAUGAUCUACCAUGACGCGAGUUAUUACUUAUGUACUUUAAUUUUUGAGUUUACUACGACGGUACCUACAACACUACUGUCGUACUUAUUUACCACGUCCGAAGUUAAACGUACUGUCGUAUUUUGUAAUUUAUACGUCGUAGUUAUAUGUAACCGCCGUAUUAUUUUUUGAAAUGGUUUUAUAUGUAAGCAACUUUUCGUGUACCUGACUUACACAUGCAAUGUUUCCAAACCCGAUUAAAAAUUUCAAUCUCCCAGAGAAAACUUUUAGACUUUUUUCCUUGUCAGAGCACUUUCAGAGUAUCUCAUCGUCUUCCUCUCGUCUUCUUCGUCGUCUCUGAACUUAAACAUCGAUCGUCUUCCUCUUGCUUUCAUUGCACGCAAAAGGUAAGCUUUCAUUUUCACUAUUUUGGUUGCUGUUUUGCAUGCUCAUACGUUUUUUGUUUGAAAAAUAUUUUUACCUUUUUUCUGGCCAAAAUCAUUUUACUUCUUUCCAAGUUCGAUAAAAUAUACACACAAAGAGGGAAAGUUUCCAACUUUGAAGACAACUACCUCAACUAAAUAAGACGACGGUAGCUUCUUAUUUACGUGGUUAAAUAUGUAGACCACGACGGUUCGUCAGUCGUUCUAGCGUCGUCUGAAAAUUGACAAAGUUGUUUUUAAAAUUAUAUUCUUUUUUUUAUUUGCUUGUUUAAUUGCAGGUUUGAUUUCUCUGAACAAUGGUUUUUGUUUUUCCCUAAUUUGAUAAAAUAUAAAGAAAAAGAAAUUAGGGUUGGUAUCUAAUAUAGACGACAAUAUCUUAUUGUUUUACGUCGUGUGAAUGUUAAUACCACGACGUCAUAUUAAAAUACCGUCGUCUAUAUAAGAUUCCAAAACUUUCUUUCUUGACCUUGUAUUUUAUCAAAUUAGAAAACAAAAACCAUGGUUCAGAAAAAUCAAAUCUGCAAUCAAACAUUCACAGAGAAAGAAAGAAGGGUUUUGGAUCCUUAUAUAGACGACGGUAUAUUAAUACUGACGUCGUGUGAACAUCAAUACCACGACGUUAUAUAAAUAUUCCGUCGUUUAUAGUUAAUUAUUACGUCAUUUGUAGUUAAUUAUUUCGUCGUUGUUUAAUUACCUUGGUUUUAAACAUUUAUUACGUCUGAUAUUAUUUCAUUGCGUCGUUUAAAAUCAUAUCAUACGUCGUCUUUUAUUAAUAACCGUCGUUUGUGUUCUUAAUCUUUUCUUGAAAUAUUUUCACUUGCAGUUUUGUCUGUAAAAAUGGUUUCUCACCAAGACCAAAGUAAGGAUUCUGGCUCCAAGAAAAAUGGAGGUAAGGAGCAAGUACCUCCUCAAGAGAAGUCUUCGAAGAUAAUGAAGUCUUCGAAGAAGAUGAAGUUUGCUUCAUCAUCUGCUGAUACAGAACCAACCAGCGCGACAACAAUCUCUGAUGAUUCAAAGGCUGGUCGAGGUAUGAGCACAAUGCCUCGUGUUGUGAAGAGAAAACUUCAGAAACUGAGGCCAAUUGUUGAGUACAAUAAAAGGGGGAAAGGAAUUGGCCAAGCACACAGUGAGAUGCAGUCCUAUAUUGGUGUGUUGGCACGCUCCAGAGUUCCACUUGUGGACUUGAAAUGGGCUCAAAUCCCCAAGGAUAUAAAGGAGCAGAUUUGGGAAGCAGUUGACAUUGCUUUUGUAGUAGGUCAAGGGGGCAAGAACUUUGUCUUAACUUCUGCUGCCAAGAAAUGGAAGGAUUUCAAGUCUACACUAACGAGGCAUUAUAUCCUUCCAUACACCAAUGACAGGGAGAGAUUAAGCCAACCCCCUGAAACAUAUAAAUUCAUAGAGAAAGCACAAUGGGAUGCCUUUGUAGCUUCAAGGUUAUCCAAAGAUUUUGAGUCUGUGCAUUCUCAACAUGCACAGAUUAGGGAGAAACUCGAGUACAAUCAUCGAUUGUCUCGAAAAGGAUAUGCUGGUUUGGAGGAUCAAUUAGAGGAAACCAUGCCUGGGGUAGAAAUUGAUCGAUCUACCUUAUGGAAGAGAGCUAGACAGGACAAACAUGGUAACAUCCAUGAUCCAAAGGUGGCAGAGAAAGCAAAAUUAAUUGUAAGCCUACUCACUCUGUUUUAAAUUUUUAUUAAACUGUGAAUAAUUCUUAUUACGUCUUAUGUUAUAUUUUGCGUCGUGUGAAUGAUAUUACCACGUCGACAUUUUUUAAAACACGUCGUUAAAGGUCUAAAUUGGAAUCACAACUCUGUUUUCUGUAAUUAUAGCAUAAGAUGUCGGUGGUUCAAUUUCGCGUCGUCUGUAUUAAAUUACUACGUCAAAAUGUUUUAAACAACGUCGUUAAAGGUGUGAAUAUCAUCCUGUAAAUAAAGCAUAAGACGUCGGUGGUUUAUUCAUUCCGUCGUUUUAAAAACUAACCACGUCGGUUUAAAAACUACCGUCGUGAUAAAUUAUAAUAACGUCGAUUUAUAUGUUAUUGCGUCGUGUGAAAUUAUAUAAUACGUCGUUUGUAUAUAAAUAACCGUCGUGUGUUUUUGUUCUUACUUUUUUAUAUAUCUUUGUUUUAGGAUGAUUUGCAAAAACAAGUCUCGGAAGGCAAAGUCACCGUCUCUGGCAGCAAUGAUGUGCUGACUAUGGCUUUGGGCCCCGAGCAUCCAGGCAGAGUCAGAGGAGUAGGUGCUGGGAUCUCACCAAAGCAAUAUUUCAAUUUACCCAAACCACAGAGAGUGAGCUUUGACGACCGUUUGAAGGACAGUUUAAGAGUUCUCCUUCAAGAAGAGACUAAAAAGAUGGAGGCUAAGGCAAGGGAAGAGGCUUUAAGGAUGGAGGCUAGAACGAAACAAUUGGUAGAGGCUGAGAGGGAGCAUUUCCUGAGUCAGCUUUCCCAAUUAAUUCCCAAUUUUGAUCCAAGCAUGCUUAAACCCAAAAUUAGCCAAAGUCCCAAAAAUCCAAUGUCUGACAAAGCAAGCUGCUCUGGAGGUUAUGUGAGAUCCCAGCAUUUUGAGGAUGAUACUGCCAAAAAUGGCAAACAUCAGGAAGAAAAGGUAACAAAUCUGAACUUUGAAUUCUCUGUUUUUUUAAAAACCAUUAGACGUCGUUAUUAUUAAUAAAACCGUCGUUUGAAAUACAUACCACGACGAUUUUAAAAAUAAACCGUCGUUUGUAUUUCAAUACCACGUCGUAUUUAGUUUACUUGUUUUACACGCCAUUAAACGUCGUUAUUUUUAAAACUUUGUGGUUUUUAGACGACGGAGGUAAUCAUUCCCGACGUCAUAGAUGAAGAGAAUAAAGAAGAAAAACAAGAUGAAAAGGAGAAAGAAGAUGACGACCAGGUAUGUUCACAUAACUUUGCCUUUUUUAUUUGUUUUUCAAAAUUCCAGACGUCGAUAUUUUUCUUUAAACCGUCGUUUGUUUACAACUUAGACGGCGGAAUUGUUUUCUAAGACGUAAUAAAUAAUUUACCACGACGGUUAUUUCACCGUCGUUUAAAUUCUUUUCAGACGACGUUUUAUUCUUUAAACCGUCGUUUUUAUUGAAUUACCACGUCAUUUUUUUUAUUUCUUUAAACAGGUUAUUAAAGUUGUUGAUUAUUCAAAUAUGGAGGCGCCAUCUUCUUUAAAAACCCUUUGUCGUUAUGUGGAAACGACACUCGUGCCUCAGGAUAAGACACUGCACUUUACAAUUGAUAAGGAGGUGUUUGGUCUAGAGCGCGAUACCUUCCUCCUGCCUGAAGAUAUUACACAAUUUGCAGGCAUGAAAGAAAUAGGAGCCACUGUCAUUGCUGUAUAUAUGAGGUUUGUCAUUCUAAAAUAAUACGUCGUUGGUUUAUUUAUUGCGUCGUCUUAACCGACUAACCACGUCGUUAGUAUGUACCGUCGUGAUAAAUAUAUUAUAACGUCGUUGUCUAUUUCAGUACGUCGUGUGAAAUUUUAUAAUACGUCGUUUUGUUAUACAUAACCGUCGUGUGUUUUUUUUGUAUAUGAGGUUUGUCAUUCUAAAAUAAUACGUCGUUGGUUUAUUUAUUGCGUCGUCUUAAAUAACUAACCACGUCGUUAGUAUGUACCGUCGUGAUAAAUAUAUUAUAACGUCGUUCUCUAUUUCAGUACGUCGUGUGAAAUUUUAUAAUACGUCGUUUUGUUAUACAUAACCGUCGUGUGUUUUUUUGUGCUGACUUGUUUAUAUUAAUUUAUAUAUUUAGGUACUUACACGAUGUUUUGAAAGGAGCUAAUAUGUGUAUCAUGGUUGGCUUUAUCGACCCUGCUACAGUUAGUGCCAGCUCUGGCACAAUAGCUGACAGAUCACGCCUACUGGCAGCUUGACUUCAGAGGACUGACGGUGAACAGAUUUUCCUGAUGCCUUACAAUCCAGGGUUAGUCUCCUUAACAGGAUUUUGUUUUUAUGAUUUUCAAUAAAUGACAGCGUAUAAACUAACCACGUCGGUGUUUUAUUUUAUUGAGUCGUUUGAAACGACUAACCACGUCGGUAGUUAUUUAUCGUCGUGAUAAAUAUAUAAUGUCGUCGAUUGCUAUUUUAUUUUGUCGUGUGAAAUAUUAUAAUACGUCGUUUUUGUAAAUAACCGUCGUUUUUAUAUUAAUUUUGUGCAGCCGUCAUUGGAUCUUGUUGAUUGUAAGAGCAAAGAGGGAAACAGUCUAUUUUCUGGAUCCUCUGCCAGGAAAUCGUGUGGUCGAUGAAGAGGCCAAAAACAUCGUGAACAGUGCUAUAAAAAUUUAUAAUUCCCACAUAGGCAGAUCAGGCCGUAAGGCAGUCAUUUGGAAAACUCUGUCAGGCACACCAAAGCAACCCAGCAAUGUCGAAUGCGGGUAUUACGUGAUGCGCUUCAUGAAGGACAUCAUCAUGGAUCCUUCCUUGGGGUUUGAGAAGAAGGUAAGAAGAAAUAACCUUCAAACAUUUUACGUCGUUUUUUGUAUUAUCAACGACGGUCAUGUAAAAUUACCGUCGUUGAAUAGAUAUACUACGUCGGUUAUGGUUGUCUGUGAUUGAAUUUUCUUUUAUUUAUAAACCCUAAUAGUCAUUGUUUAUGCAGUAUGCGAAAGGAAAACAGGAAGAGCCAUACCCCCAAGAAGCAAUUGAUGAAGUCCGGAAUGAAUGGGCAGAGUUUGUUUGCCUUCACCUGGAAUAGGGGAAUUAUUGAACACUUGAUAUUUAUGUAUAAUGUACAAAUUUUGUCUAUAAUAUAUAAUGUAAAAAUUUGUUGAGGUUUUCUUAAAUUAAAAAAAAAAAACAAACAUACAAAAUGCGUAACCGACGUGUAAUACUUGUCCAACGACGUAAUAAAGUCAAAAGCCGUUGUUUUUUGUGGUUUCGUUUUAAACAAAUCCGACGUAAAAGGAUAUUUAGACGACGUUCUUUGAACAAUGGAGUCGUUUAUGGUUUACAACGUCUUCAAUUUCUUAAAGGUUCAGGGUAGUACUUUGUAACGACAGCGGUUAAGUCGUGGAAUAUAUAUUUUACGUCGGAUAGUUAAAUAUCCGCCAUGGUUUCUCAUUUAAACGACGUCAUUUUAACAACUUAGUCGUCUAUUACAAUUUACAACGUCUACAAUUUAUUAACACCGACGUGGUUUGUUGUUGUGAUAAGAAUAUUUUAUUAUUUUUAUAUCAAAAUAUUCAAAAUAAAUUUAAAAUAAAUCAGAAAAAUGCAAAGUCAACUCCUAUGAAGUCAUUGAUAUAUUAUCUUCCCCCUAAACCUUGAAAAAAUUCAUUUUGAAUAACAAAAAUUUAAAAUGAACAUCCAAAACAAAAUUGUUUUGAUGAGUCAUAAAAUCACUUCUAGUUUUAUGGUUUAGGGUUUAGAGUCUAGGGUUUAGAGAUUAGGGUUGUUAUUUAUUGGGGUUUAUUUUUAAAGUAUAAUUUUUGGGUAGUCUAGGGUAUAUAUUAGGCUGUAAAACCAUAAACCCUUUUAUAAACUUAAUUUUUAAAAUUAUAUAAUUUAGUUUUAAGGGUUUAGGGUAUUAAUUGUUAACGACGGUGGUUGAGUCGUGGAAUACAUAUGUUACGUCGUGCAGUAAAUUAUCCGACAUGGUUUCUACUUUAAACGACGUUAUUUUAAUAUGUAAGUCGUCUAUUAUAAUUUACAACGUUUUCAAUUUCUUAACCCCGACGUGGUUUUUCAGUCGUCUUUAUAUCAAAAUAUUCAAAAUUAAUUUAAAAUUAAUUCGAAAAAUGAACGUCAAAAUAAACGGCGUUACGUUCGGUGUUUUCGUCGUGGAAUAUUACAUUUACGUCGGUUUUUGUAGAACUUUCGCCAUGGUUUUUCUUUCGACGUUUAAAAGAGCGCGCGCUCUAAAAAUAUUCGCGCGCCCUAAAUUUUUUUAUAUUUGGCUCUUAUUCUUAUACUUCUAACACUGAACCCUAAAAUUUUCAGAUUUCGCGCAACAUAACAUUCGCUCUCUCACUUCUGCUCUAAUUAAAAGUUGCACUCUCCAGGCUCCGUCGAAUCUGUGAGCUCGUCCAACCUGUAAGUACAAACCCUAUCUUCCCCUUGUAAAUUCAUUGAAUGAUAUUAUGUUGUUUUGUUAAAGGGUUUUAGGUAUAUGCUUUGCGAUCUGUUAAUAAUGUGCUUAUAGGUAUGGGUUCAUGGAUUUUCUGUUUAAUGGGUUCAUGGAUUUUCUGUUUAAUGGGUUCAUGGAUUACAUUAUCUGUUAUGUUGAAUUGGGAAUGGAUUUAAUUUUGUCGGAUCUUUUAAUCACCCUAUGUUAUGUUGAAUUGGGAAUGGAUUUAUUGUUUUCAUGCUUGGUUUCAUGUAUAUGUUGGUUUCUUGCUUGGUUUCAUAUAUAUGUUGUGUUCUUAAUGGGUUUUGGGUUCUUGAAAAUAAACUGAGACACGACGCCUUUUUAGGCAUACGACGACGAUUACACGACGGUUUAUGAAAAAACCGUCGUUGUAUUACUUAUACACGACGGUUUUUUCAUAAACCGUCGUUUGUAUUACUUAUAUUAGACGACGUCUGUUGAAUAUCCGUCGUCUAUAUAUGCCAAAUACGUCUGUUUUUGUUUAAAACCCGUCGUCUCUGUUGUGUAUUACUUGCUAUUAGAUCUUUGUAUAAUCUGCUAUAGUGAUGGUCAUUGCCUGUAUUUUCACUUUAUUAUAGAUAAUAGGUUAUAGUGUCGGAGAUGGAUAAGUCAUGGAUGCACUCGGAUAGAAGAUCGAAGGCAUAUGAGUUUGGGGUGGAAGCAUUUUUGAACUUUGCUGUAGAAAAUCUUCUAACUACAACACAUAUUCGUUGUCCAUGUGUUAAAUGUGUUAAUUUGAAGUUGUUUGGGGUUGGAAUUAUAAGGGAUCACUUAUACUUUAAUGGAAUUGACCAAAGCUAUAAGAAUUGGACAUUUCACAGAGAACCUUGGGAAGCAACUACUAAUUCUAGUAGAAAUGUUGAAGAAGAUGAUGGCCAUAGUAGGUACAGUUUUGUGUCUGAAGAAAUUGAUAUGGAUGAUAAUGAUUUUGGUUCCGAUCCGUAUGAGUUUGCCAAUGUGAUUGGGGAUGGAGAUCAACCAGUAUACCCUGGUUGUAGAAAGUACACGAAGUUAUCGGCAUUAGUGAAGUUGUAUAAUUUGAAGGCAAAAUAUGGGAGGAGUGAUGUCUGUUUUACAGAAUUAUUGAUACUUCAAGGCGAUUUGCUUCCAGAAGGAAAUACAAUACCAACCUCUAUGUAUGAGGCUAAAAAGACUUUGUGUGCAUUGGGGCUGAGUUAUGAGAAAAUGCACGCAUGCCCCAAUGAUUGCAUCUUGUAUAGGAAGGAGUAUGAGGAUUCAACUAAUUGUCCUACUUGUGGUAUCUCAAGGUGGAAGGAAGGCAAAGAUUCAAUCUUGAAAGAGGGUGUGCCAGCGAAGGUGGUGUGGUAUUUUCCUCCAAUUCCAAGGUUUAAAAGGAUGUUUCAAUCACAUGAGACAGCUAAGAGUUUGACUUGGCAUGCUGCUAGAAAAUCAAUUGACGGUCAGAUGUCUCAUCCGGCGGAUUCCCCGUCUUGGAAACUUCUUGAUGAUAAAUGGCCUGAGUUUGGUAAUGAGCCGAGAAACUUGAGAUUGGCUCUUUCAUCUGAUGGAUUCAAUCCCCACAGUUCUCUAAGUAGCAGAUAUAGUUGUUGGCCGGUUAUCUUAGUUACAUAUAAUCUCCCUCCAUGGCUGUGCAUGAAACGAAAGUUCAUGAUGUUAACCUUAUUGAUUUCCGGUCCUAAACAACCCGGAAAUGAUAUAGACGUCUACUUGGAGCCUUUGAUUGAUGAUUUAAAAUCUUUGUGGGAUGGGAUUAGAGGAGUGUAUGAUGCACAUAAUGGAGAAUACUUUACACUCAGAGCUGCAUUAAUGUGGACAAUUAAUGAUUUCCCCGCCUAUGGAAACUUAUCUGGUUGUGUUGUUAAAGGAUAUAAAGCUUGUCCAAUAUGCGGCGAUGAUACACCUAGUCACAGGUUGAAAAAUGGCCACAAAAUUUGUUACAUUGGGCAUAGAAAAUGGUUACCAAUCAAUCAUCCAUAUAGGAGGCAACGUGCAGCUUUUAAUGGGAAACCUGAAUAUGGCAUACCUCCCGAGCCAUUAACCGGAGAAGAAGUGCUGCAUAUGGUUGAAAAUGGUGACAGAGUUUGUUGGAAGAAGAAAUCAAUAUUCUUUGAUUUCGAGUAUUGGAAAUACCUUCCUGUGAGGCAUGCCCUAGAUGUUAUGCACAUUGAGAAGAAUGUUUGUGAUAGUAUCAUUGGUACAUUGCGGAGAUCACUAGAAAAAAUAAAGAUGGGAUUGCUGCUCGAUUAGAUUUAUUGAACAUGGGGGUCAAAACUGAUUUGCAACCCGAGUAUGGAGAAAGACGUACUCGUUUGCCUCCUGGGCCUUGGAAUUUGUCAAGAGCAGAGAAGAGAGAGGUUUGCAAUUCUUUUUAUGAUAUGAAGGUCCCUGAAGGUUAUUCUUCAAAUAUUAAAAAUCUUGUAUCUUUACAAGAUUCAAGACUUCUUGGCCUUAAAUCACAUGAUUGUCAUACCUUAAUGCAACAAUUGCUCCCUGUGGCAAUUCGUUCUGUUUUGGAGAAGCCUGCAAGGUAUGCAAUAACUCGUUUGUGCUUCUUCUUCAAUGCUAUAUGUGCAAAGACUGUUGAUGUUUCCAAGCUAGAUAAGUUGGAAGAAGAUGUAGUAGUUACUCUGUGUUUGCUUGAGAAGUACUUUCCCCCUUCAUUCUUUGAAUAUCAUGGUUCAUCUAGUAGUANNNNNNNNNNNNNNNNNNNNNNNNNNNNNNNNNNNNNNNNNNNNNNNNNNNNNNNNNNNNNNNNNNNNNNNNNNNNNNNNNNNNNNNNNNNNNNNNNNNNUCAUCUAGUAGUACAUCUGUCAGAGAGUUCGUCUAUGUGGGCCAGUAUAUUUUAGGUGGAUGUAUCCGUUUGAAAGAUAUAUGAAAGUGCUGAAGGGGUAUGUUCAGAAUCGUACUCGUCCCGAAGGUUGCAUUGCUGAGCGGUAUAUAGCUGAAGAAGCGGUAGAGUGUUGUACUCAGCAUUUAUCUGAUGUUAGUACAGUUGGAGUGCCUUCAAGCCAAAAGAUGGGAGUUUCAAAGCCAUUAUCAGGUUGCACAGUGAGCGUAGUUGAUCAGGACCUGUUGAAUCAAGCACAUCUAUAUGUCUUGGAGAAUACGGAGGAAGUCCUACCUUAUAUCGAGUACGUAUGAGCUUUAUUCUUUAAGUUUCCAUUUUAAAUUAUUUCUUAUGUUUAUCUUCUAUAUUUAGGACCGUAAUGCUUGAAUUUUUCGUGUCAUGUAGGCAACAUAUGAUCCACAUCAAGACUGCUUAUCCAAAAUUUAGAAAGAGAACAAAGUGGCUGCAGGAUAAGCACAAUAGCACUUUCAUUCAAUGGCUACGCUUCAAGGUAUAUGUUGUUGAAUAACAUAUUUCUCUUUUAAUUUUCUUCUUAUUUAUAUGUUAGAUUGAAUUAAGAUAUGAUUAAUUUGCAGGUUCAAAGUGAACUUGAGGAAGACAAUCAUGGCGUAUCAGAAAAUUUAAGGUGGCUAGCAGCUGGUCCAAACAUGUCAGUGCCAUUAUAUAGGAGCUAUCUUAUUAAAGGUAUUAAAUUCAAUAUCAAGGCACAAGAUGAUGUGCGGACAACUCAAAAUAGUGGAGUUUAUUUACUUGCACAUACCAUGCAAGUUGCUAGUGCCAAGGAUAAAAACCCAAUUCUCUCAAAUAUGGGUUUCUAUGGUGUCAUUCAAGAAAUUUGGGACCUUGACUACCAAAAGUUUACAAUCCCAGUCUUUAGGUGUGAUUGGAUAGAUAGUUCUGGUCUUGUAGUCGACGAACUUGGAUUUACCCUUGUAGAUUUGAGUAAAAUUGGACAUAGGAAUGACCAAUUUGUUUUGGCUUCUCAAGUCAAACAAAUAUUUUUUGUUGACGACCCGAUGCAUCGUGGUUGGUCGGUAGUGUUAUCAAUGCCUAAUAGAGAAUAUAAUGAUGUUAUUGGUGAUGAAGUCUUAGGUGAUGUGAUAAUUGAGUGUGAGCCAUUUACUAGAGGGAUGCCAAAUGUUGACACAUUUGAUGAACUGGUGGGUGAGUUAGGCGGUCAAAAUAUUCGAGAUGGGUGUGAAGAUAUAUGGAUUGAAUGAUGCUUAUGUAAUUGGCAGUGUAUGACAUUAAUUUUGUAAUAUAUUGUAAUGUGAUUUCUUCACUUUCUACGUUCAAAUAAAACACGACGUUAUUGUGAACCAGUUAUUCAGCAUAUUUACCGACGUCUUAAAGCAACGUAACAAUGAAGAACCACGACGCUAUUGUGAAGCAAUUAUUCAGGAUAUCACGUCGGGGAAGGAUUAAGAACCGCCAUGUAAUUCAAAAUAACACGACUCCAAUCCCAUAAUACCGACGUCUAAAAAAUGAGAUAUAUAAUCUGAACGUUAAAAAAUUCGACGUCAUCAUACAUUUUCCACGUCGCAAGUUCUUUUAUAAACGAAGAGGAACGAAAUGAAUUCCGACGGAAAUUCAUUAUAACCGUCGUCUAAUAACAAUUAAACGACGUUAUUUGUAAUACGGCUCUCAUCAUAAUCUACGCCGUCUAUAUGUUCUGUAAUACGGCUCUCAUUUAUUUAGAACCGACGUUGUUUAGAAGUUCAACGUCGUCUAUAUUAUUAAGUGCGUCGUGAGUAAUGAAUACAUAUAAAUACAACGUCGACUAUAUAAAUGCCACCGACGUUGUUUCGCAUUUCAACGUCAACUAUAUAAAUACAUACGUCGUAAAUAAUGACACUGACAACUAUUUCCACGUCAUCUUUUUUAGAAAAAUCGAAGUGGAACAUUUAUUUCACGACGGUUCUUUGUAAAUAAGAGACGUAGUAGAUUUCAAUAACGUCGUCUUCUCAUGUAUUUAAAGACGUCAUAUUUUUUCUUGUCGUGUAAAUUGUAUUUAACGGCGUAGUAUUUUAGUUGUCGUCGUUGUAUGUAUAUCUUGCAGCCUUGUUCUUUUAAUAUGUGUCAUAUUUUUCCUUUUUAACGACGGUGAUUUGUUUGAGUUGGUCGUCUAUUCUCAUCCUCGACUAUUUUCUAUAACUUUAGCAGACUAAACACGUCUGUUUUUAUUUUUCCUGACGUUGUUUUAUUUAACAACGUCUAAGAUUUAUCGUCGUUGUUUGUUUCUGAAAAUAGGACGUAUAAAUUUUGUAAUACGACUCUCAUAUAUUUGUAACCGACGUUGUAUUGUUUUUCAACGUCUACUCUAUAAAUACAUACGUCGUAAAUAAUGACACUGACAACUAUUUCCACGUCAUCUUUUAUCGAAAAAUGAAGUGAAAAAUUAAUUUUACGACGGCUGUUUUUAUAUAUGCGACGUAGUAGGUAUCAAUAACGUCGUCUUCUAAUGUAUUUAAAGACGUCAUAUUUUUAUUGUCGUGAAAAUGAUAUUUAACGGCGUCGUAUUUUUAUUUUCGUCGUUGUAUGUCUAUCUUGCGGCCUUGUUCUCUUAAUAUGUGUCAUAUUUUUCCUUUUUAACGACGGUUUUUUUAGAGAGUUGGCCGUCUAUUCUCAUCCUCGACUGCUUUUUUAGAUCUUUUUGCAUUACAAAGACGUCGUUUUGUAUUUGUUGAUGACGUUGUAUAUUUUAACAACGACGGUGAUUUAGCGUCGUGGUUUAUGAGGGAAAAGAUGACGGUGGAUUCCACGACCAUUGAAAAACCGAAUACACGACUGUGAUUUACCGUCGUCUUUUUGCUUUUUUGUAGUAGUGUGUUUGUUCUCGUGAUGGUAGGCUGAAGUUCCUCAUUGCCUUGAAAACUAUUGCUUGGUCAAAAAGUUAACUUUUCUUUAGUGUGCGAGUGUGCCACUGCUAGUAAUGAAAAAUCCUAACAGACUUCGAAAAUAGAUAACUUGCGCCCCAAGUUACUGAUUUCUAAACAAGUGAAUGUGAAUUUGGGUGAGGAAUAUCUCCCAAGUAAGUUCUUUUCUUGCCUCAGACUGGUGAGCACUUCACAAUUUUCACAGUACAAUAUUGGUAGUUCUGGCCAGAAUAAAUGAUGAGAAAAUGAACUGUUUUUUAGGCAGAACUGCCUUUUACAAAACUCAAAAGGGAAAAACCAACUCUAGAAAGACAAAAAGAAUGCUGGACUUCCAUUUCUGCAUGGAUAGAUGCUUCUGAUCCGAGCUGGACUUGGUAUGUCUGUGCUGAACUGGACUGUCAGCAACUUUAAUUGUCAAGUUUCAGCUGUAAAUCGAUACCAACGUUCGAGUUUGGCAUAGCUUUAAUCUAUUUCAAGUCCUAUGAGACUGUUUGAACGGUCAGAAUUGCAGCAUCUUCAGUCUGAAGGGGUAGAAGUCACUGGAUUAAAGGAUUACUGAAUUGGAACUACACUGUGAUGCCUGUUUUGCUUUAUCAGGGCUCUCCAUAAAUUUGUUGAGGUUUUCAUAUUUGUAAAAACCCAGGCUCUGCUUGUUUUGGCUUUUGCUGCACCAAAUUUGCAACGAAAGAAAUCUCGUUUUUUAGACUUUUCUCUAAGUCUGAAACUAAUUUGUAGCUUGCUUCUUUCUUGUGGCUCAAUGAGCUUUUGGUUGCUUCAGUGUUUUGAAGGUUUUUGAGAUCAAGGGAUCAUUUUGAGUUUUUGCUGUUGAUUGAUUUUUUUGGUUGUUUGAUUGAUUGUCUUUGUUCUGUUCACCCUUUCUUAUAUUUAUAAGAAAUGUUUUGGAGUAGGAUUUCUAAUUCUUUUAAUAGUGGGUGGUAAAAUUUCUCAAAAGAUCUCUCAUUUUUAAAUGCAAAGAAAAAUGGGUUCUAUCAAUUUCUGGCAGAUAAGCCCUCAAUAGUUAGUUCCUAAGGCAGUCACUUCCCUAUUUUUCUUGAAAGAAAACCUAACCCUUCUUCCAAUUUAACUGCUCCUUGUAAGAAUUCAAACUGUGAUGGUUAGUUUUGAUCUUCCAGAUGAACAACUCCAUGCACCCUACUUAUCUCUUUUAGAAAAUAUAGCCUGCUUAUCUCUUGGAAAUGGCACCUGUUUUGGUGCAGAACUUCUCUAUAAUAUAUAAAAUUCUGACCUUCUUCUUUUGGCUGAGCAAAUAUAGAGAAGUCCUUCUGUAACACCUGCCCUUAUUAAUUUCCUAUCAACCUCUCUGUAAUAGUUGAAAAUUUUGACUUUUCAACGUUAGUUAGUCACGUGGGUUUGUUUAGGAAAGAUCUUUUGAUUUUGUCAACCUUCUAAGGGUAGAUUUUUUAGAUGGUAAAGAAAGGUUGGGCUAGUCUCUUUUUAGUGGAUAAGAAAGCCCCAAAUAUUUCCGUCUUAUGGCCCUUUUUUUGAAAAAGAGAUGGGCCCAGUGUGCUAGAAAUUGGCCCAAUCUUAAAAGACUCUGAUGGCUGCCCAUUAUUUUGACAUGGGGUUUUUUGAUUUGGGCUAUUGAUUCCAAUUUUGAACAAAAAGCCCAAAUUGCUUGGAUCCUGGGUUUUGUCUUCCUGGGCUUCCAUCGCUGAGCUGGGCGUGCAUAUUUUGGCCCAACAUAAUUAGAUCAUUACAGACACCAAACCUCUCUAUCCAGCCAUGAGUGAAUUAUAAUAAUAAUCAUCAAAAUAAAGCGAUAAUAAUAAUAUUAAUGAUAACAACAAUGAUAAUAAUAAUAAUAAUAAUAACAACACUAACAAAAGUAAUCCAUGGAAAUACCAUAAUCAUAUCUUCCAAACGCGUACCCUCAAACUAAGAGCUACGUAAAUAAAUCCCUGAUGUGUUCAAGCUAAUGCAUAGAAAUCUCUUUCUUUCUAGUUUAUCAUAGAAUUUUAGUGAGCCUCUCACCACCUACUUUCCGUUCCAUCUUAUUCACAUUUUGCUUAAACACAUUGUUUGUCCAUAUAUACUCGACUUUGCCUAGCAUAUCAAAAGGCACAAAUACAUCUUGCAUCAAGGGACUUUAAAUUCUUUCUUUCUAGUUUAGUAAUGAAGAUUUGGGGAUUCGAACUUGAAAUCUAUUCCAAAAGACGAGACGGUCUCAAAGACCCGCGGUCAAUGGUUUGGUCAAACUUUACUAUUUUUGGUCAACUGGGCUUGCGGGGCCCAUGGCCUCCGAUUUCAAUUCUAAAGUUCCUAGAGGUCCAACAAAGUCUACUGAACACAUCCUGAAAGUUUGGUCUCGAUCGAGGAGUCGGAUUGCUCGCGAUCACACGAACAAACGGUCACCAUUUUACAUAAUCUUUGAACCAUUGAUUCAGAGUAUCCGGGACCCCGAUUCUCAAUCCGUUCAUUCCUACACAAUCCUAGAGGUACCUAGAUCAACAUAUUUGGAAAUGGAGUCAAUUCAACAGUCCGAAUGUAUCGAACCCGGAUAAGGCCUAAUAUGCGUAAAUCCGAUCGACCGUCAAACGAUAACCAAAUUCAAAUCCGAGCAUGCCAUCAUGCUCGGGACGACACGGGGAACAUUUUAGGACCAAAUGAGCCACCCAAACAUGGCCCACAAGCCACCACACGAACCGACAACGCGUGGGAGUCUUGAGAAAAUUCUAGAGACCUAAAAAUUCUCGAAACACCCAACAAUACAUAUACCUACGUGAUCAGGACAAUGAGUAGAGUAACUUUUGCUCUUGGUUUAGUUUGUAUAAUAAUGUUUUGGAGCAACUUUUGUUCUUGGGCCGCGGUUAAAAAGUGGCCAGAACUUACUGGAAUUUCGAACCGAAUACCGACUGAAACUUUGAAUCGUAAAACGAGUUGCAAAACUUCAAAAUCUAUCCUAACCAACCCAACCAUCAGCUAAAUCACGUUGAAAGCAUGAGAAAGCAUACUUAGAUAGACAAAAAUGGAGGCAGAAAUUGUUGAAAAGUUUGACGAAAUUUAGGCAUGUUUUUCGCCAUUUCGGGCAACGAUGAUUGUCAGUUGCGGCGGAGGAAGGAUGAGGUGGGAAGAGGAAGCUGAGCCAGUCGUUUUGGUACCGGUCUUGUGGCCAACGGUGGUCGAACGUGAAAACUACCGGCCAAAAUGUGGCUAGCUGGAGCUUGGUGGCGAGGAGAGAUGAGAGGAAGAGAGAGAGAGAGAGAGAGAGAGAGAGAGAGAGAGAGAGAGAGAGAAGAAAAAAUCUGGGUGAGAGAGAAAAGAAAAAAUCUUGGUUUGUAAAAUUUCAACUUCGAGUUAUUUACGAUUGUGUCCAAAAUAACCCUACCCCCAAGGGUAAAAUUGUAAUUUUGCAAUUAAUUAAACUAAAUCAUUUAUAUAUAUUAAAUAAAUGGUUUAAAGUUGGGUCAGGAUGUUACAAUUUACUCCAACUUUUUUCGUAGAGAUCGAGGGAGAAGAAAGAGAAGGAAGUUCGAUGGUCAAAGAAUCUAUGUGUAAAUAUUCCCUGUGUGAAAUUUUGCUCAAACAUUAAUGUUGCAAUUCGUCUUUGAAUAAAAAUUUUCAUUCUUUAGCAUGUAUAUAUGUGUAUAUAUAUAUAUAUAUAUAUAUUGUACAAGCAAUAUAUCAUAUUUGGAGAGAGGGAAUUGAAGCAUAAGUCUCAGAAGCAGGGUAAUUAUAUUCUUAACCACUUUAGUGGAGUAUGGAUUUAUAUAGUUGUGUUGUGUGUUGGGCAUAAUAGAUAGAUCAUGUCAUCAUCCAUGCAUUCUUUCCUGGUGUGUCCCAUGUUUUCAAGAACAUACAUAUUUUGUUUCACGUUUCAAAUUUAAAACAAGCUCUUUUUAAGGACUUAACUACUAAAAAAAUUGAAAUAGAAGACGGAGAAAAACCGUUGUCUUUUUUCUUUGAAAAUCAUUGUUAAAUUGACCGUUAUUUUUUGAAUGUUAAAUUACAACAGUGAUCCAUUGUUGUCUAUUAAUUAUAAAAACGACGCUUUUACUAUAAACUGUCGUUUAUUAAAGGUAAAGCUAACGGUUUUGUUAAACGAACCGUCAUCUAUUAAUUGUAAACACAAUGGUGUGUUUGAAAGAAUCGUCGUUUAUUAUAUCUAAAGAUGAUGGUUUUUAACCAACAUCCUAACUCUAAAGACGACGGUUGUGUUGAAAAACCCAUCGUGUAUUAUCUAAAUUUAAAAAUAAAAUAAAACAUAAAGAUUUUCAACUAAAAUGAGGUCGGCUUGACAGCUUUCGGUUUUAGUAUAAUAAAUAUUCAAUAUCUUCUUAGGGUCUCCCUUUCUUAUACAAUUUCCAUGUACAAAGCAUGAUCAUGCGAAUUGUGAGGCUAAUUAGGCUGAAAACGCUUUGACAAAUUUCAAUCGGUAUAAUUAAUUUGGAUUAAUUUGUUCUGUAGUGAGCGUCUUUAAUUUUCUUGAAACUAUAAAUAUAUAUAUAUAUAUAUAUAUAUAUAUUGGGGUGACAUGCUCCUUAUUAUCUUCCAACCAAAAAUAAAAUAAGAUAAAAUAGGAUAAAUUACAGUAAACCCCCCAACCUAUAGGGUCAUUUACGAGUCCAUACCCGAUUUUGGGGACAUUUAUGGGUACAUAAUGUCGCGGAAAACCUACAGAUUGCCCUAUCCAUUAGCGAGUCCGUCAGGAAAUCCGUUAUCUGCCUACGUGGCAAACACUACUACAUUUUACCCUUUGCGCGACGAAUAACAAAACGUCGCGCAAAGUCCCAUUUAGUCGCACUAACUUCAGCGCGACAAAAAAUUCGUCGCGCAUAUUCCGUCGCGCGAAGAUCGUGAAGAAAGCCUUUGCGCGACGAGGUAAAACCAUUCGUCGCGCAAACAUGUGCGACGAGUAAACCAUCGUUGCACCAACGGUAUGGAGACGAAACAACUGUUCGUCGCAUAAAAUUUGCGCGACGAACAAGUAUUCGGCAUACGUAUAUUUGCGCGACGACAAGACUAGCGCGACGAAAAACCAUUCGUCGCGCAAAACUUGUUUGGGAGACGUAGAUGUUCGCCGCAGAACCAUUCGCGCGAUGAGAAAGUUUUCGUCGCUCAUAUAUUUGCGCGACGAAAUUUCUGUCGUCGCGCAGACGAUAUGCGCGACGAACACAUUCGUCGCGCAAAACUUGUUUGCGAGACGCAUGUAUUCGUCGCGCAAGAAUUAAAAGUAAUUAAAAAGUUAAAUUUUUAUUUUUUGUGUGGGUUUGCGCGACGAAACAUUUGCCGUCGCGCAAAAAUAAUAUUACAUUUUUUUAUUUUUUUUAUUUUUUAUUUUAAAUAAAAUUGGUUUUUUUUUUAUUGAUUAAACAAUGAAAUUGCAAUAAAAAUAAAUUAGAAUAAAAUUCUUUUAUAAAAUAAGAUAAAUGUAUUACAAACAUAUAAAUGUUUAUGAUGAAAAUAAAUACACUAAUCAAAUAAUGAAUCAAAAUCAACCGUGUCGUCGCCAGUAUGCUGCUCGGAGGUCUGGGCAUUCACCGGGGCAGUGGUCUGAUGGGGCUGCGCGGGAUGGACGGGCUCGGAGGUCGGCGCAUCAAAAUGCGGGACUGGAAUGCCGGACUGUGCGAGGGACUGCAGAAUGACCGACAUCUGGCUCUGAAGAGUGGCCACCUGUGCUGUCAAAGCAGUGACCUGACUGUUUGACUGCGCCGAUGAACGAGGUCUAGGCUCCCUCCUCCGGGCAUUCCCCAUCCCUCGACAAUAUGUCCCCGGCCUCCUCCCGAGAGUCUGAUCCAACGUCUCCGUCAAGAUCUGAAAUCCAGCAUCCUGUGGAGGAGCCACAGACUCGAUCGGGGUCUCGGGAGGAAGCUGGGAGGCGGACUCCUGAAGAACCAACUGGCUCCUCUCCACCAUCGUCGUCUGUUGAACAUAACAUAAAAUAUAAAUUAAAACAUGCAUAUAAAUUGAAUGCGUAACAUAAGAAUUAAAAUUAAAUAAUACUUACAUGAAGGGACUCGGCCAACUCAUUCCCGGGUCGAACAUAAACGUCACCAAAGACGUCGAUCUCUGGGAACUUGGACCCCUCCUAAAUUGAACAAGAGAAGAAAAAUAUUAGUAUGAAAAAAAUAAAUUAAUAAAAAUGACAUUAAAAAUGAAAUAUAAAUUUUGUGAUUAUUACCCGACGCCGUGCAUCCAUCCUAUACGAAAAGGGUCUGGAGCCGGAAUGGUGGAGAAGGGUCUUCUUCUUCCUAUUACCCUUAUUCACUUGGGCUUUAUUCUGUUAUACAAAAAAUGAAACAUAUUAGUUAAAAUAUAAAAAAUUAAAUAAUAAUGAAAUAAAAAAAUAAAAUAAACAUUAAUAAGUAAUAAGUAAUAAUUAAACAAAUAUAAUUAAAAAAAAUACCGCAAAUUCGGGCGCUUGAAAAUGAGCGCAGAGCCACUCCCAACUAUCCUCCCGCCCCUCAAGCUCCUUCGGGCAACCCUCAUGAAGAGCGACUUGCGGAUCAUCAUAGGCCUGAAAAUGGUGGUGCAAGUCGCUCUUCCACUGCUUGUACCUCUCAGCGAAGAGUCUGUUGAGGUACGUCAACGACUCUUCGUCGAGAUCCUCCAAGUUAUAGUUCGUCUGUAAUCAAUUAAUUAGAUACGUUAAGUAAUAGAAAUAUACACAAUUUUAAAGAAAAAUAUUGAAAAUGUAAGGUACAUACCGACAACUGGCCGCGAACCUCCGCCUUGAUCUCGUCAAGCAUGACCCUCCAAGACUUCCAUUGCAUCGGGCAAUGGGUUCGCACGACGUGGCCAAUGUCGUGGGCCAAGGAGCUAUGCAACUCUGCCGUCGGUGCAGCCCGAUGGCGCUAGUCGUACCCGAUGCUGAUACGACUGUUGGUCACCCGAGUGACCUUCGCCGUCUUCAGCUGACGACACGGUCCUCGGGUGUUCUUCUUCGCUGCAAAGCAAAAGGUAUUAAUGUUAAAUAAAAAAACAUUGUUAAAUUUCAAUAUAAAAUUAACAAUACAAAAGUGUAGUUAUACCUGACUGUGAUCCCGAGGCACCAGUACCGUCGGUCGAUGUCGUGUCGAUGGAGUCGGUGGGCCGGUGCCGCCGCCUAGCACUAGCUGGCUGCGCCACGGAUGACGCAGAUGACGCAGGCGCCUGGGGCGACUGGGACGCCCCGGGACCAACCACCACGUGGUCCAUCAAAGCUGGAGCAGUGGCAGCAGAUGCCGACUGAGCCGGGGGAUCCGAACUCGGUGCAGUCGUCAUCGUCCUACCACGUCUAAUCAAGUCUGACAUCUACACAUUUAAUUUCAUUCAGAAUUUAAACUAAUUAAUUAAAAGCAUAGCAUGACCUAGGGUUUGGAAUUUCGGAGUAUCCGGGACUCCGAUCAACGAUCGGUCGAAUCCUAAACGACCCUAGAAACACAAACGUACAACUACAUGAGUUUCAGUUCGAUCCAACGGUCCGAACAUAUCAAACCUGGAAAUCGCACAAUAGGCGAAAUCCGAUCAAGACUCAAACGGCAACCAAAUUCAAACCGGCCAAAACCUAGGGUUUUAAUUCCUAUUUCCUAUAGCGAAAAUUCACAAAAUCCUAACCAACCAUCAGCUAACCAGUAACAUAUCCAUCCAGCCAAUCAAUCAUAACAAACAUACAGAAAUCAUAACACAAAUACAAAAUCAAAAUCAAAAUCAAAACUGACAGAAAUCAUCAUAACACAAAUACAAAAAUAAAAACUGAAUUAACACAUACUUCAAUGGACACAGAGUCGAUAGAGGCUUACAGUGGCGCAGAGAAAACAGACGCGGGAGUGGCCCAGAGAAAAGAGAAGCGGCAGUGGCUACGGUGGUGAAGGCAGGGAGGCUACGGUUGCGAGGGCGACGGCAAGGAGGCUACGGUGGCGACGGCGACGGCAAGGACGCCACGGAACGAGCGGAGGUGGCUGAGGUGACGGCGGAGAGAGAGGACAUAAUUCAUUGCGCAAAAUCGUUUUAAUGAACCUUGCGCGAUGACAAUUCCGUCGCGCAAAACAGCAUUAAUGAAUCUUGCGCGACAACCUAAUUUAUUCGUCGCGCAAAGUUUUUGUUCACCGCCAAAAUUUUGGGAUUUAGGGUUUAGGGCGAGGCGGAAAUUGAAGGGUCUGCGCCUUUUGCGCGACGAAGUAAAUGAGCGUCGCGCAAAGGAUGAUAUUGCGCGACGGAAACAUUAUAUUCGUCGCGCAAAACACAUUCUCGGCGCCUGAUAUUGCGCGACGGAAACAUUAUAUUCGUCGCGCAAAACACAUUCUCGGCGCCUAAAAAUUGAGAUUUAGGGUUUAGCGGGAGAGGUAUCUGUCUUUUGCGCGACGAAACAAGUAACCGUCGCGCAAUAUUACCUUUGCGCGACGACUAUGUAUUCGUCGCGCAAAACACGUCUGGCUGCAAAAAUUUUGGGGUUUAGGGUUUGGCUGGAGCUGAAGGGCCAUUGCCUUUUGCGCGACGAAGACGUGUUAUUCGUCGCGCAAGUUCAAGAUUGUGAUUCGGUUGAAAUUUUCGCUAAGUGUUCAGAGGGUUGAGGGAUUGCGCGACGAAUAAACUAUGUAUUGCGCGACGUUUUUGUUUUAUUCGUCGCGCUAGUGUAGAAUUUCAUUGGGUUAAAAUUUUCACUAAGUGUUGAAAGGGGAUGGAGGGGUGGACUUUGUGUCCCAGAUUGCGCGACGAACGAAACCAUAUCCGUCGCGCAAUCAUAAUAUCUUUCACUUUGCGCGACGAUAUUAUGUGUUUCGUCGCGCAAAACCUAAACCCUAAAAUGUAAACCCUAAACCCUGAGCCCUAAGCCCUAAACCCUAAACCCUAAAAUAGUUUCAAUGAUCCAACCGGCAAACUUAUUUUUUUUUUCUUGGAGAUCGUAUACGCCAAAAAUCAAAACGACCAAACAUUCAGAUAUCAGAAAACGGGACAAAAUAUUUCGACGGUUAUAAAUGAAAAGUCAUGAUUUAACGGUUAUUUUAAUACCGAUUCCAAUCAUUUUUUAUAGCAACAUUUGUUGACCCUAUAUGAAUACAAUGACUGAAUUUGAUCUUCAAUUUCAGAUUUUUACACUAGGGGAUACCACAUAAACGUUAAGUUACAUUUUGACAAAUGUAUGAACAAAUUUUUGAUUUUUGGUGAAUAUAUGAUUUUGAUAGCACACGCAGUCUACAAAACUAGUUUCAGUCAUCCAGCCGUCAAACUUGUUUUUUGACAAUUCGAGAUCUUGGACAGCAAAAAUCGGCCAAAAAAAACAUUCAGAGAUUAAGUAACGGGGUAAAACUUUUCGACGGUUCGAAAUAAAAAGUGAUGAUUGAACGGUUAUUUGAACUCCGAUGUUGAUGAUUUUUUGCACCAACAGUCCUACACUCCAUAUGAAUACAAUGAACUACUUCGAUCGCCAAUUUCAAGUAUAUAUGUGUGUAUAUAUUAUACUAUAACGUUACGUAAUAUAUAUUUGCGCGACGAAGUCACUCUUAUCGUCGCGCAAAAGUACCAUACGCGACGCACAUAUUUUCGUCGCAACACUAGCUUUAUUCGUCGCGCAAAAUUUACGCGACGCAUUUUUAUGCGUCGCGUAUGGUGUUUUUGCGCGACGAUAAUGAUACUCCGUCGCGCAAGGAUUUGGCGCCAUAACUCCACCUUUAAUUCAAAUUGUGUAUGCUUUGUAUUUUUUGGAAAGGUUUUGUAUUCAUCAUUUUUUAUGCUUUGUAUUUUUUGGAAAGGCUUUGUAUUUCUUCAUCAAAACCAAGCUAAAUUGAUAAUUAAGAUUUGAAUCGACCGAAUUUAUCGGUUUGACUAGAUUGAUGCCACUAAUCAUGAACCAAAGUCAAGAAAAAUAAGUGGCACACAGCUAAUAUUGGAGAAAUAACUUAAAUUUUCUGUUUAAACAUGAAGAAAUAACUAUAUCUCAAAAGAUAAAAAUAAUAAUUGAAGAGGCCUUAAGGCAUGAAUAAAUAAAUAAAUAAAUAAAAACCAAUCAACAAGCAUGGGGUCGUAAUAAGUACUGACGAAAGUAUUGACUACAGUAUUGACAUUCCAAUGAAGUUUGUGAUGAAAUAUGGAGAAUGAAUACACAACUACAUAUGGACGACUGCAUAUAUUCAAAGAUUUGUAUUACACAAAAUGAAUACACUAACAUAAUAAAUUUACAAAUAAAUUCAUUAUUCAUCAUUUGAACUAUAAUAACUUUCGUUAUCGUCGCUAUCAUCACUCUCGGUCUCCCAAUCUUCUUCCUCCUCCUCCUCUAUAACUGCAUCAUCGGCGUUGCUAGGGCCCACUGCAACAUCGUAUCGGGGAAGAUCACCGAGGUCAAUUGUAAUUGACUGAAUCGGUAUUUCGACUGAAGACACUCCUUCUAUUUGAAACGGUUCUUGUAUAACAUUUGUAUCUCGAAGUGUUUCCGCAUCAUUUUCCAUUGAAGAUUCUAAACGUUGGUCAGCCACAUUGUCGACGGCGUUGUCACUUGGGUCUAGUUCUGGUAUAUCAUACACGUUCCUAUGAUCCAUCUUCUGCACAACUUUCCACCCGUUCCCGGCUUUAGGGUCAUCUAGAUACACAAUUUGGGACGCCAUGUGUGCCAAAAUGUACGGGUCGUCAUCAUACCAAGUUCUGUUAAUGUUCACAGACAGUACUCCAUGGUCGAUUUUAACACUUCCCGCCCUAUUUGGGUUGGUAUCGAACCAUCGACACUUAAACAUGAUGACUUGGUAUCGAUCUUUGUAAAGCAAUUGCACGACAGUUGUCAGUUUGCCGUAGAAAUCAAUGUCCGUACUUUCGCCUCCACCUGGGACAUGGACACCGCUAUUUUGCAUACACAACUUGUCAUCUCGUGCGGCCCCCAAAAAUUUGACGCAGUUAACAUUACAACCCGAGAACAAUUCAGCGCGAAUUGGGCCGAACGCCAAGUUAUAUAACUCAUCACUGUAAGUGGGGGAAUUCGAUGAUUUCAAUUUAUUCACCUAAUAGUAUACAAAACCAUUUACAUGUUAGUCAGACAAAAUUAAAUACUACAAUUUAUAUCUGUCAAUUAUAAAACACUUAUAACUUACAGAAUCCAAAAACCAUUGUGGAAAUAAUUCACGGUGUUUCCGGGCAACCAAAUGUGAUGGAUGUUCUCGCUUCAUCAUCUGUUCAUGCUCAUCUAAGUAGGCCAUUAUCUCAUCACAAUUGUUCAGUACGAACCAAUGCGCUACCUCCAUGUCAUUUCUAGAAAACGACUCUCCUCGUCCAGGAUCUCCAAAUGGUCGUGCGCUUUGGGCAAAAACAGAAAGUUUUUCAUUUCUCAUACCUCCGUCAUUAUUGCGUUGAGGACGAUUGAAAACCGUCUCCACAUCUUUUAAAUACAUUCCACAGAAAGUAAGCGACUCAUAUUGAACCCAAGCCUCUAUAAUUGAUCCUUCGGGCUUUGCCCUGUUGCGUACACUUUUUUUCAGCUCUCCGAGAAGCCUGCCAAAAUAAAACGAUAUGAUACAAAUUAGCAAAUUGUCGAUAAUGAUGCAUACACAAAUUAUAAAGAUUAUAUACCUUUCUAUUGGAUACAUCCAGCGAUAGUUGACAGGACCAGCAAGCAAUGCCUCUUCUGGCAAGUGAACCAUCACGUGUAUCAUACUUGUAAAGAAAGCUGGCGGAAAUAUCAUCUCAAACUUGCAUAGGACUUGGACAAUGUCAUGGCGCAACUGAAACAUGUCUGUCCUUCGCAAUGUUUUUGCCGUCAGUUGGGAAAAAAAUCUGGAUAACAAGAUGAUUGGCUUCACCACAUCUUCCGGCAGUAGGUGUCGAAUACCCAUAGGAAGUAGGCGUUGCAUAAACACAUGGCAGUCAUGGCUCUUAAGUCCAGUAAAUUUACCCCCAUCGACAUUCACGCAACGUGCGAUAUUAGAAGCAUACCCAUCGGGAAAUUUGACAGACGAUACAAACUUUAGAAACUCUUUUUUGUCAUUCGGUUUCAUAGAAAAGAAUGCAAGAUCCCUUCUAGCUUUAUCACUGUAUUUCUUCAUCCAUAAACCCCUUCGUAUGCCCAUUCUUUCCAAAUCAAGACGAGCUUUGAUCGUGUCCUUCGUCUUCCCCUCGAUAUCUAGAAUCGUGCCCACCAAUGUGUCGAAUACAUUUUUCUCAACAUGCAUCACAUCUAGAUUGUGCCUCAAUUUCAGUUUCGACCAAUAUGGGAGCUCAAAAAACAUAGGCUUGUGCGUCCAGUUCAAAUGUGUAGAAGGUCUGGUCCGACUAACUGUUUUUCCGAACGGAGCAAAAUCCAAACGGUUCAACUGUUCCAAGAUCUCAUCACCGGACCAUUCUCUAGGUCUGAGGCGACGCUCUGUGUUCCCGUCGAACUCUUUAUCUUUUUCCCGCCAUUCGUGGUCCCAUGGCAACCAUCUCCGAUGACCAAGGUAACAAACUUUUCCUGCGUGCCAACCAGAAGUUACAUCUUCCUUGCAUACAGGACAUGCCAUAUAACCCUUUGUGCUCCACCCAGAAACCAUUGCAUAUGCUGGGAAAUCAUUCACAGUCCACAUAACUGCUGCCCGCAAAGUGAACAUCCUCCCAGUUGAUUUAUCGUAUGUGCGAACACCGUUUGUCCAUAAAUCCUUCAGCUCAUCAACCAGAGGCCUUAAGUACACAUCAAUUGACCUGCCAGGAUCCUCAGUUAUCAAAACAGUCAUCAUCAUGUAUUCUUUUUUCAUGCAUUUCCAAGGCGGCAAAUUAUAUGGGAAUGCGAAAAUCGGCCAAGUGCUGUGGUGUUGGUUUAGAACCCCAUACGGAUUGAAUCCAUCAGUGGCAAGUCCCAAUCUAACAUUUCGGGGAUCAGCAGCAAACUCGGGGAACGUUCGAUCGAACUCUUUCCAUGCCUCCCCAUCAGCAGGAUGCCGCAUCACAUCAUCGUCUACCCAUUUUUCCUUAUGCCAUCUCAUGUCUGUGGCAGUAUGCGUCGACAUAUACAAUCUCUGCAACCUAGGUUUAAGGGGCAGAUAACGCAUCACUUUUUGUGGUAUCUUAGUCGUUCUAUUCUGGGAUGUCAUUUUGAACCUCGACUCAUUGCAUAUAGGGCAUGUAUCCAACGUUUCAUGCUCUUUGUAGAAUAACAUGCAAUUGUUUUUGCAAACGUGGAUUUUUUCAUAACCCAAUCCAAGACCAUGCAACACCUUCUGCGCAUGUUUAUGGUCUUUCGACAAACAAUUGUCCGUCGGAAGCAUUCUCUUGAAAACCCCCAAAAAGUAAUCAAAACACAAGUUCGACAUACGAUACUUUAUUUUUCCGUGCAUUAGCUCCACAAUGGCAGUGAGAACGGAAAAGCUCUCGCACCCCGGGUAUAACUCUUGGUUGGCAUUUUUUAACAGUUUUUCAUACUGUUCAAACUCCGCACUGUCUAUUGGUGUAGGCACGUCAUCUUCCCCUUCCUGAUUGAUGUUGGUCGAUGCGAAUGGAAAAGCAUCCUGUAUAAUACCCAUGACUUGAUCAUUAGGAUCCACAAUAGGUUCAACAUUGUCCACUCUCGGGGCAUUUGAAGAAGAAGCAUGGUCUACUUGUUCGCCGUGAAGGUUCCAAAUGCUAUAUGUUUCAAUCAUUCCAUUCCUUACUAAAUGAAAUCCAACAUUUUCAAUUGUCUCCCACAACGUGUUGUUACACCUCCUACAAGGACAACGGAUUCUAGUUGCACCCGGGUUGUGUCUACGUGCAAACUCAAUAAAAUCCUCGAUUCCAUCCAAGUAUUCGUCUGCGCAUCUAUUCGGGUUCUGUAUCCACCUUCUGCUCAUAAUUCCUGAAACCACAAUCACGACACAACAAUCACAACAACUUCAUACGAAGUUAUAAUGUCACCUUAUGCCUCCGGUAAGGGCCCUAUCCCAUUCGGGAAUGCAUAGUCCUGUCACGUAACCUACGGCUACAUGAGAUUAGAUUUCGACGUGGAUUAAUUUCGGCAGCAUCUCGACACAGUUCUUGAAGUGGGCAUAGGUAUAAAUACCUACGUACCACCCGAAGAACGUACCGAGAUGACACCGAAAUCUCCACAAUCGAAACCUAAUCCUGUAGCCGAAGAUUAUGUGACAACACUAUGCAUUACCAAACUGUCCAAAUAAUGGGACAAUUCAAGAAUUAAUUGGACCUCAGUCAUGCAUUACGCAUCCAUGCACGAAAUCCAACUAAUCUCGAACGGGAAACUACGUGUUACUAAAUAUAAAAAUAAAAGUACGAAGUUAAUUUCAAUUAACUUCGUACAUCACAACACAUUGUGCUAUGUCACGCACAAUUUCACAACAUUAUACACAUAUAACUUCACAAAAAAAUUACAAACAUAACAAACAAACUUUUACAAUAACAUACCUUCUAAAUCGUUCUCCACCAAUCACCAAUCACAAAUAUCCCUAACGAUAACAAAAUUAAUAGCGUUACUAAGAAUUUACAUUAAUACAUUUAAACUAACGACAAAAAAUACAUACCCAAUGAACGUACUGAAUUCACAGCAGAGCAAUGGCAGGGAGAGUGAGAGAGAGGCAGAAUGCAGUGGGAGAGUGAGAGAGAGGCAGAAUGCAGAAACUGCAUUCUGCCUCUGCAAUGGCAGAUACUAAAAUGAAGAAGAAGGACUUUGCGCGACGAACAACCCAAUCCGUCGCGCAAACUGCCGUCGCGAAAACCCACUUUUCCGUCGCACAAAAAAAAAUUUCCGUCGCGCAAUUACCUGCCGACAUCAGGUUUUUUGCGCGACGAAUAAAAUUAUCCGUCGCGCAAAUAACAUUAUUCGUCGCGCAAGAUUUAUAUUACGUCGCGCAAAUAACAUUUAUUUCGUCGCGCAAGAAAGCAACGGCAUUACACUUUACGCGACGAAGGUAAUUCCGUCGCGCAAAAACAGUUUUUUCCACUCUGCAUUUUGCCGCCAAAAUUAAGUAACCCUCGUUUUCUUACGCGACGGUACUUAUUUCCGUCGCGCUAAGGCGUCUUUUGCGACGAAAAAGUUCGUCGCGCAAAGGUUUUUACAGCAACAAAAAUUAGACAAUUUUCUGUCCAUCUUUACGCGACGAAAUAUUUUUAUUGUCGCGCAAUAUUGUCAUGCGCGACGAUUUUUAUCGUCGCGCAAGAUUCUGGGACCAAAAAUAAAAACUGGGUUUUUUUCCCCGACCUUUGCUCGACGAAAUUAGUUGUGGUCGCGCAUAGAUUGUUUGCGCGACGACGAUAUUUCGUCGCGCUAGAGUUCUGCUCUUUGCGCUACGGUAUUUUUUUUUCGUCGCAAUAGUGAUUUUUGCGCGACGAAGAUAUUUCGUCGCGCUAGAGUUCUGCUCUUUGCGCUACGGUAUUUUUUUUUCGUCGCAAUAGUGAUUUUUGCGCGACGAAAAUAUGUUCGUCGCGCAAACAGUAAAUCGUAGUAGUGAAAUGUGGAUUCCAUUUUUUAAUUGACGUGGACUUACAGGUGGACAAAUAAAUAAUAAAAAAUUAUAUACAUGUUAAAAAUAAAUUUAAAAUAAUAUUAAAAUCAUUAAAAAUGAAAAAAAAAUAGAAAAAGGUAAAAAGACGCAAACAGCCCCAUUCCAUCCCCCCCUUCCAGCCCAACCUCCAACCCACCCUCCCCAAACCCUCCGAUUUGAACGCAUUCGAUUUGAAAGAACAAGCUCAAGCCGUUUGAACGCCCAAUUCUGUUUGAAAGAACACCCAGUUUUGUUUAAACGCGUUCGAUUUGAAAUCGUUCUCGGCCAGACUGGACCUAUCCGGGCUGUUCAAAGACCAUUCGUACGGCUCUGCGAAGGACAACGAGCGUUUCGUGUUGGAGGAGAUGAUGAAGAAGGUGGAGAAGGAGAAGACGAUGCCCUCCUCCUUCCUCUGCCGCUUCUUCGUCCUCGUUGCUUGCCCAGUUAAUUGACUGAACAUCGGUAAUCCCAAACAACAGGCCGUUUUCUGCAACCAGCCUAGGUUGCUGGGGAGGGAAGUCCAUUCCUUGAAUUAUACUAAACGAAUUCGGAUUCUGAUAUUAUUCUCAGCCAAGCAUUUUCUAUUUCAUAGGCACUGACGUUUGGGAUGCGAAAUUUGACUGGCCUCGAUGCCGUGAGGCUGAUCGAAAUUUGGGAUGUGAAAUUUGAAGUUGAACUCAACUAUGGUUUGGGGACGGCGACGACCACGACAUUGUUUUGGGGAAAAUGAUCAGAUCUGUGGCAUGAAGGAGGUGUUAAGGCUGGGAUGGGUGGCCUGAGUAAGCUUGGGUGGUGGUUUGGGUGGCUGUGGGCUAGGAGGGGAGGAGAUCGGGAGAGAGAGAGAGAGAGAGAGAGAAUCUUGGUAGGGUUAUUGUAUUUUAUUUUUUUAUUUUUAUUUUAGCCCCACGAGAAUUGUUUGUGCCAAUCCAUGCAAGGGUGAGUACCAUUGAAGGUACGCAGCUGGAGUCGGGGGUCGAUCUUGCGACCUUUGACUCCAUGGACAAAGUUGAUAAGAUCAAAAGGUGACACCCCAAAUGUUCCUUGUUGCUUCAGAUUGCUGUAUCGAAUGAGAAGAGCUCGUGGCAUUCAUUUGGGACCAAAUUUGGAUGUUGCCUGAGGAGGUCGCACCACUCCUCAGACACGCACACAAACUAGGGUUAAGAGUGGUGGGAAGUUCGUUCCACGUGGGAUCGAAAGCAUCUAAAUCUACCGCAGAGCGAUAGCUGCAGCUAGAGCUGCAUUUGAUGUGGCUGAUGAGCUCAAAAUUCCCAAAAUGCAUGUCCUUGAUAUUGGUGGUGGGUUCAAAGCAAAUCAACUGUUUGAUGAAAUAGCCGAGACCAUAAAUGUUGCCAUCAAAUAAUACUACUUUUAUGAUCAUCAGUCAGAUUCUGAUCUGAAGGUGAUGGCUGAGCCAGGAAGGUUCUUUGCUGAAACUGCAUUCACAAUGGUUGCAAAUGUGAUGGGGAAGAGAGUGAGGGGAGAGCAAAGAGAGUAUUGGAUUAGUGAUGGAAUUUAUGGGUCAUUUAAUCUUCCAGCAUAUGACAAAUCCUCUAUGCAAAUCUCACCCCUACAAAUUCUAAGUCCUCACCAAAAUCAAGUGACAUAUUCAUCAACAGUUUUUGGGCCGACUUGUGAUUCAUUGGACAUAGUUGUUGCUGACUGCAAACUGCCUGAAUUAAAGCUGAAUGAUUAUCUUGUGUUCCACAACAUGGGCGCCUACACAACUUCUGCUGGAACCAACUUCAAUGGCUUCUGCAUUUCUGCUAUUCCUACGUACGUGGCAUUUACAAGUGCUAAUAAUUAAACUAGAUUUUGUUGGGGUUCGUAUGGCUGAUGCUAUUUUACUGUAAUUUCUUCUUUUAUUCUCUAUUAAAAGAGAAAAAACUGUUAGAAGUGGGGAAUGGAAAAUAAGUUUUUUUGACUAGUUUCAAAAACAAAAAUUAAAGUAUUGUGUGAUCUCUCUCAUUUUUUUACUUUAAAUCUUGUUUGACUGUUUUGUGUGAUCAAAAAAUUAUUAUAUUAUGGGUAGAUGACAUGGUUUAUAUUUCCCAUUUUUAGUAUAAAUAAAUAUUUACUAAUAUUAUAAUACGUGGAUAACUUGUAUUACGUGUCUGUAUUUUAGUAUCAUCCUAUAUACUCAGGGCUCGUUUGGUACAUCAUACUGUAUUGACUAAUUUAUGUCAAAUAGUAUUAGUUUGUUUCAGAGAGUAUUGACUGUUUAUCUAUAAUAUUAUAAGUCGUUUUAGUUCUGUUUUGGAUCAAUAAUCUAACUAAAUUAUACUGUAUUUGGUACUUCGUAGGAUAACAUCGGAUCAUACUAUUUUUUUUAAUUCUUUGAUAACUUGACAGUCGCGGGGAUGAUGAAUUGAUAAUGUAACCAAUAAAAGACGACAAUAGAUAUCCAGCUAACAGUCUACAACUCAACAAAAGUGAGCAAUCAAGAGCACAUGUUUAACAAGAAAGAACUUGUAACCAAUAAAUCAGUAACACCAAGGGCAUCUGAGGGCUGGAAAACUCAAUCUUGGUACUACAAAUUUCAAGUUUCCAAUCUCACAAUGGAAUUUCAAAUAGUAUUGUGCUUUAUAAGAGAUAUAGGUGCAACAAAUUGUACUAGUAGAGAGAUAUGCAACAGUUCGCAUUAUAUUUGUAACACUUGAAAGAAAAAAGACAAUUAAAAAAAAACGAAACAUGGGAAAACAAGAAUCAAUAACACGUACAAAUUAAUAAUUCCAACUCAAAUGGAUAUCAGCAGAGAAGUUUUUUUGCAACUAAUCCCAGUGUUCCAUGCUUCUUAAAUUAAACAUUUGAUUUAUAAAAAAAUGUCAAAAAGGAAAAACUUAUGACCUAAUUUCCACAAAAAUUGAAUAAAACAUGAAAUAUAUCACUAUAAGAAAAUUGAGUAUUUACUGCGUGCUAUUUAUGGUAUGCAUUUUAUGCACGCUGUAAAUGUGUUUUUCCAUCCUCUUUUUCCGGCGUGCAUUCAUAGCGCAACUUAAAUGAAUUUUUUCUGUCCUUUUUUACGGCGUGCUUUUACAAUGCGCCGUGAUUUUUAGGCAAUAAUGGCGUGCUUUUGAUGACUCUAUUAAUGGCGUGCAAAAUAUGCACACCGUGAAAUCUAAUCCUAUUAAUGGCAUACAAAAUAUGCAUGCCGUGAAUACAAAACUAAUUCUUGUUUUAAAGUCAAGGAUGGAUCCCAAAAUGGUAAAGCCCACUACCUAAUUGAUUGAAGAGAAAUGAUGAAGCUUGUCUGCCAUCAUCGCUUGAGAGCCAACCACAUAUCCAUGGGAGGCAAUAACACUACCAGAUUUUGUUGCCUAUAAAAUAAGGCUUCAUCCUCACUUGUAAUUGAUAGAACAAAAGUCUUAAUGAAAAUAUCAUAUUUCUAUGCUCUCUAUCUCAAUUUUCUCUACAAUUCCUCUAGAUUUAUAACACGUCAUCAGCACGAAUAUCUCUAAAAUACCAACUAGGAUAUUCGAUCAAAACACUCUGCUUCAUUGCUUUUCUUUAUCGGGUUUGAUUGAGUUGCUCAUGCUCUUCUGUGUAUCGAUAUAGCUUAUGUGAAACUUUGUUAUCACUGUCUCAGCUCUUUACUCUCUCUCUCUCUCUCUCUCUCUCUCUCUCUCUCUCUCUCUCUCUCUCUCUCUCUCACUCUAUAUAGCUUCAAAACACAAACCCAACAAAACAAGUUCUUGAGGAAGAUCAGACCAGUCAGCAAGAAUUAUUUUUCCUUGUUUUGUGCCACAAUUCCACCAGUGCUUCAGUCUUCAUCUCUGGGGAUGGAUCAGAAACCUGAAUCGAGCAAAGUAUGCGUUACUGGGGCAUUUGGCUUUCAGGCAUCAUGGCUUAUAUUAAACGACUUCUGGCUAUCAUGUAACUGGAACUGUUAGAGGCUAAAGGAGAGAAAAGAUCAGACGCACAAAACAUGAUAAGAUAAUCUCUGCCUUUUUAUCUUCUCCUUUAAUUUUAUUAAUAUUAUUAAUACCCUACAAGAACAGCACCCACCAAAUGAUGAGCUUCCCAUCCUAUUUUCAAUUAUUAUUAUUCUUCUAUAUUAUUUAAUAUUAAUAUUAGUGCAUGUGCUGGUGGCAGGUCAAAUGAAAAGGCAGUGGCAAGUGUGAUAUUGAUCACUUUCUUUGCUUGCCUGAUUAUAUAUUUGAUAUAACAUGCUAUAUAGCUCACAUAUUAGUAUAUCAAUAUAUUAUAUACAUUAACAAUUACUUAUAUACUAUAUAUAUAUAUAUAUAUUAAUUCUAUGAAUGGUUUCACCUCCUAUAUUUUUUUAGUGGUGGUUUUAUCCUCACAUUUAUUUACUGUAUGGUGUAGGUUCAUUACCCAUACAAUUUAUUUACUGUAUGGUGUAGGUUUAUUACCCAUACAACAGUAUUUAUUUAAAAGUGUAGUGCGGGUUUAUCGUCCACACAACUGCCUUUAAUUUUAUUUAAGAGUAUGUAGCAGAAUUAAUGCUCAUACAAGCACAUUUACUUUAUUAUUGUAUGGUGUGGAAUUAACCCCCAUACAACAAGCAAUUUACUUUUAUUUAAAGUAUGGUGUAGGAUUAACGUCCAUACAUGAGGCAAUUUAAUUUAUGAAUUUAUUUUACCGCACAUUUAAUUUUAUUUAAGGUAUGGUGCAGGAUUAACGUGCAUACAACAAGCAAUUUAAUUGAUGAAUUUAUUUUACCGCACAUUUACAUUUAUUUAAAGUAUGGUGCUAGUUUAUCGUCCAUACCAGCAAUUUAUUUACAAGCAAUUUAUUUUAUGAAUUAAUUGUGCGGUGUGAUGAGUUUUUAUAGUAUACAGAUUAGGACCAGAAGUUCUUUGAUCCUCAUCAGACAAUUACAUCAGGACUUGAAGAUCCUUGAUGAUGAUAAUGAUAUGAGAGUUGGCAGUCUCUCUGGUACUAUACUUGUAAAGAAGAGAUCGGACUUGAAGAUCCUUGAUCCUUGACAUGUAAAUAAGGACCUAGAGUUUCUUGACGAUGUAACAGUAUCGUAUUGGUUAAAAGUAUCGUACACAUGAAUAAUAACUGUACUGGCAAAUGUACUGUACACAUGAACAUACACAAAAUUCAUGACUUGAUGAAUAAUACCGCAUACAUGAAUAGUGACGUAUGCAUAAAUAUUAACCAUUUUGGGUAAACCGUCACUAUAUACAAAAGGGAAUAUGCAGUUCCUUAAAGUCAUGGAUGAGCAAUUAAAUGAGAUGCCAGAAGUUCCUAAAAAUAUGGACAAUUAUGUAAGGGCUUGAAGUCCCGAAAUAUGUACAGAAAAUUGUAAAAAUGUCAAUACCAUGAGAAUAUGUGAUUUUGGCCCGAAGUUCAAAAUCUAAGAGUAUUGAAUGCCCAUACUAUGAGAAUAUGUGAUUUGGCAUAAAGUUCAAAAUCUGACAAUAUUGAGAACUUGAAGUUCCUAUAGUUAAAUGGACAACCCUUGAGGUAUUAUUACAAAUUGUGGUGCGCCACAUAUUUCUUUGGCAUAAGAAAAUGAUGAAUUUAAUAAAGUUCGAUUAUGUUAUAAUCGACAUCUCAAGGAAGAAAUAUAUUUUGUGAAUUCCAGUCAUUAAAAAUACACCGUGAAAUAGAUAAUAUCAGGAUAAACCUCAAAUGAUGAAUUGAGGCUCCCCACAUAUUUUGUUGUAUUUGGGCCGGAAGACAGUGGAUCCAAAUAUGUGAGAGAUCCCGAACCUGAAGUUUUGGGUAUAUAGUAGUUAAUGCUCUUCACUACUAUAUUGCGAUAUUAUCAUGAUUUUUACUCAAUUCAUAUUUCAUGUCCAUUUGAAAAGGACGAAUAAAUUCUGAGGCUGUCUUUAGCCCGGGCCAGAAGUUUCGGGCUCACAUGCAUUGAAAUAUGUAAUUUGAGAGAUUUGAUGUGGUUCUUCAAACCUAUAUGGCAGAAGGUUCCAAACUGUCGUUUUGAAAAGACGUAAAAACUACAGGUGCAAGUUUAAGAAUUUGCAUAAUUAUUAUAACAGGAAAUGAGCAUAUAACAGAUGGAUUUUUUCCACGGGCAAUGAAGGUGCAGGCUCUGUAAAAUUUAUAAAAUUACAUUAUAUUUUGGAAGCCUUUGAAGGAAGAGGACGGCGCCUCUUUAAGCUUAGCCAUGAACCUCUUGUGGUCUCCCAAAAUCUUUUCAUUGGAAACCUGCAGCAUGUCUAGCCUUCUCAGAGUAUCAAUAGAGUACAAACCCACCAAUUUCAACAAGGCAUUAUUUUCUUCUCUAAGUUUCUCAACCUCCUGUUGAGACUCAUGAAGCAUUCUCUGAAGAGACGAAUUUUCAGUAGUCAGCUCCUGAACCUCGUUUUCUUUAGCACGCAAACAAUCAGUCAUGUUAGAAAUAGAAGCAACACUCUGACUGCUAAAAGUCAUUGAGUAAUCAAUAGCCUCUUCAUCAGACCUCACUAAUAACAGCAUUUCAUCCAUUGGAAUGAGGAAAUUCCUAGCCACUAUGACAAUAGUCGCAUCAUUCAUCAUCACAGAAUCAUUAACCGUGAGAUGACGAUUUUGAGAUACAAAGGAUGGACGCCAGACUUUGGCAUCACGAGUUGUGUUGGGAGUAACAUUUAAAUCAAUAUGGUUUGGGUAAGAAGAAGAGAGCCAUUUUUAGGAAAGUUUUAAGAGAAGCUGAAUUUUCAGAAAAUGAAAGGAAGUUGAGUUGAAACGUUCUCCAAUCAGGUCUUGCAGAGGCAAUAUCUAUUAGAGAAUAUAUGGUAACAAUUUCUAGGAUCCCAAUAUUCUCUCGGGUCCCCAUAUUCUCUUUCCCAUAUUCUACAACCUCACGCAGCCUCCAUUAAUGUAUGUCGGCACUUUCGGCAUUCUCAAGUAUUAUUUUCGUCAAAGCCGAUCUUGCUUUGUGGAUUUCACGGAUCUAAUUUUUCAAAAGCACAUCGAGAACCCCGCGAAUUUUUGUGGUUAAUUCGAGAUUCACCGGACCUAACUAUUCCGCUCAUUUAUGUGUAAAUGUGAUACUAACGAAAUUUUCUUUGCAGAAGACAUCCAGUUUUCUCCAUAUCUAGUGAUGCAAAAUCCACUUGUUUUUCCUAUCAGUGAGCACUCGAUGUGCUUGAGAAGCGAGACUAUCUCUAAUCAUCCAUUCAGGAACCGAGACUAUCCCUGAUCACGUUUCAGUUAGAUCAGGGAAUUGUAAGGACGACCACAUACUCUAAUCUCCUGAGAUUCUUCUAGACUAGGAGAAAUGAGAGUUUGUUGUCUGCUCCCACCAACUUCCUUCCUUGAUUGCUUACCUUAUCCUGCAAUUAAUAUCACAAUUUUUUUGCAUUUUUUCUCUUUUUAUAACUCUCUGUUCAUAAGGGAUUUUAUUUCUUUAGAACGAACAUCCAAAGAAAGAAUCCAUGAAGUGAUCCUAACUCUGAGGGUUGUUUGCUUUUUACAGAGAGAAGAAUUGUGAUUUUUGCUCUUGCAGGAUAUAACUAGAUCAUCAAGCGCUACAUUUUAUUUACUGGGCCGAUACGAGCUUGAAUGACACUUGAGAAAAGUUUCUCCCACCUAAGGAUGAGUUUUUUAAAAAAAAAAAAAUUUAUAGAGAUUCUAGAGCGUAUCGUAAUGGGGCCAAAAGGUUUGUUGAUACGGUUCAAGCUAAUAAUGGGGAUCCAGAAAAAAAUUCAAUGCCCUUGCAAUUGUCGUUUAAACUUACAACAUCACCAUCAUGGUAUAGUUUAUGGGCACUUGGUCAUGAAUGGAAUGGACCCUACGUAUACUAGGUGGAUAUUAAUUUCAUGGGGAAGAACCAAGUUCAUCAGUACAAGAUGAAUAUAGGAAAAUGCCAGAGACAUAUUUCAUGUAUAGAGAUGCAUUCCUUCAAGAUGAUGAUGCUGUUGAACCUACACAAGAUAGAGAAGAGCUGAAUUUUAAAAAUUUAGUGGAUGACGCAGAACUUCCCUUGUACACAGGUUGUUCUUACACAAAGAUGUCUGCAAUUGUUGUCUUAUACAAGUAUAAGGCUAGGCAUAGUCUAACUGAUAUAGCUUUUGACGGGCUUCUUCAUCUUCUUCACGGUUUUCUACCACGUGAUAACAGACUUCCAAAUUCUUUGUAUGCUACCAAAAAAUUACUCAAUGAUUUUGAUCUAGGAUAUGAGAAGAUACAUGAUUGUGUGCAAGAUUGCUGUUUAUUUAGAAAAGAUUUAAAGGAUGGAGACAUGUCCAAAGGUGGUUCUUCACGGUGGAAAAUUAAUGAGCGUACCAAAAAUAUUCAACAAUGAGUCCCUACAAAGAUCUUGCGUUACUUUCCAAUCAUACCAAGAUUUAGGAGAAUGUUUAAGUCACCAGAAAAGGUAGAACAAUUAACAUGGUAUUACACUAAUAAAAGUCAUGACGGCAAGAUGCGACAUCCAAUAGACACAUUGGCAUGGAAUAGGAUUGAUAAUAAGUGGCCUUCUUUUGCUUCAGAUCCACGUAAUCUUAGACUCGGCCUUUCAUCCGAUGGAUUUAAUCCUUUCGGUGAUCUUAGUUCUAAAUAUAGUUAUUGGCCCGCGAUUUUGGUUGCAUAUAAUCUCCCCCCAUCUCUAUGCAUGUCCAAGGAGAAUUUAAUGUUGAUAUUACUCAUCCCAGGGCCAAGGCAACCUGGAAACGGUAUAAAUGUAUAUUUGGAACCACUUGUAGAAGAUUUGAAAGAGUUAUGGAUCAAUGGUGUAAGUGUUUAUGAUGCUUUCAACAAGUCCACAUUCAAUCUAAAAGCUAUAUUGAUGUGGACAAUAAACGACUUUCUAGCUUAUGGGAAUUUGUUCGGAUAUUCCACGAAGGGUGAGAAAGCUUGUCCAAUGUGCGGGGUUGACACAUGUUCAAAGUGGAUGACUCAUAAUAGAAAGUGUGUAUACAUGAAUCAUAGAAGGUUUCUUGCACACAACCAUCCAUUUUGGGGAAAAGCAGGUUGGUUUGAUGGAACUAUGGAAUGUGGGCGAAAGACUAGAACAUUAACCGGUUCAUAAGUUCUUCAAGUAGUGAAGAAUUUCAAUAAUGAUUGCGGAAAAGCAAAGAAAAAGAUCAACAAAAAAAGGAAGAGAGAGACAGAUAAAGAUUCUAUAUGGCCUUGGAAAAAGAAAUCAGUUUUCUUUGAGUUGCCCUAUUGGGAGGUUUGUCAUUUUACCUCUGAUUUUUAUUCAAUUUUAUUAGGACUUUAUACUUUCUUUGUGUUUCUUUGGAAGGCUUAUUGCUAAAGUUGAUAUAUCAUUUCUUUGUGAUGUAGGCAUUAUUAAUACGUCACAAUUUAGACGUAAUGCACAUCGAGAAAAAUGUUUGUGACAGCAUUGUUGGCACUCUCUUAAAUAUGAAGGGAAAAACAAAGGACAACUUGAAAUCUCGUAAGGAUUUGAAAUAUAUGGGAAUCCGAAAAAAUCUGCAUCCAGAUGAUGAUGGGGCUAGUUGUAAAGCGAGAGCAUGUCACGGUAUUGUAUAGCUGAGCCUUCACACAUCCAUAUUAUAAUUUAUUUUCUCAUUUCCAUCCAAAGUAAUGUGUAUGUUUUUUUUUUCUUUUUGGUAGCAAAAGUUCAGUCUUGAUGAUUGCCACAAGAAAUAUACUUUUCGAAAGUUACGCGAACUUUGGAGGGACCAUCAAUCCAAUUUAGUGAAAAUGGUGAUGAAGCAAGCUGAAGUGGUUGGCCUACCACACGCUGCUUCUCUCCCCAAACCGGACAAUGCAAAAACUACGGACGAAUGACUCUUAUUUCUCAAAGAACGAACUAGUCAAGAAACUAGAGUAAGUGUGUAUUUACUUUUUCAUCUUUAUUGUGUCUUAAUCUUUGGUGUUGGCUGCCAUUGAUGAUGUUGUAGAUAUUGAUUGAGUGUUUCACAAAUUUGAUUUGAGUGAUACAUCUUAUAUUUGGAUAUUUACCUAUGUUUGUUGGGUCAAAUUGAUUUAUAUUUUAGCGUUAAUUUGUUAUGUUCUCUCUUUGUGUAAGAAAAGUGUCAAAAGUUCAAGGAAAUAUGAGGGCAACACAAAAUUUAGGGCAUAGAACGAGCCGUAAAAGCUUUGCCUGCAUAGAGGAUGAACUGGUAAAAAUGAUAUUAGUUUGAUCUCAAUUUGUAGUGUGAGUAUUGAUUUUUUUUUUUCUUUUUGCAGCAACAGAAAAGUGAGAUACCUGAUGCAAUUUCAAGGACUGAUGUUUGGAUCUAUGGAUACAAAAAGAGAGAAGAAUAAGGAUGAUGACGUUGAGGAUCCAGAUUUAGUGGUAAAAACUGUUUGCUGCAUAUUUUUAGUUUUUUUCCUAUGAUUGAUAUUUAAGUUUUUAUUUUUGUGGUGGUAAAUUUUAGAAAGAAGUGAAAACGUACAAAAAAGAACAAGGACAACAAAAAUGUUCUAUUAAAGAUGAUGCUGUAGCAAAAGUACUUGGUCCUGAUCCACGAGGACGAAUAAGAGGAAUGGGGUUUG
rnacentral:lncRNA from 1 species